UUAGUUUUUUUUCAUGAGACCUGAAUAAGUAAUAAAAUUUUGAAAAUAUGAUUCCUAUACUAACAGAUUCUGCAAGGAAUUGUCUUUUUAUUUUUUCUAAGCUGAGUAUAAUGGUAUUUAACCUUCUGCCCCAUGUUUAAAGAUGUCUGGAAAAUAAUUACAACUUUCUUAGAUAGGAUCUUUGUUACAUGGGUUUGGUUACGGGAGUUGGGUAGUGUGUGUCUAGGAGUUGGACUUAUCCUCAAAUUUUGGGAUUUGGGGACCUGGCUUCAAAGGAUCCAAAAGUUGGAUGCAGGUACAUGGACAUUUUCUAUUAUUGUCGAUAGACAAUUUACCCCCAAAUAGUUGGGGAAAGGUUAGAUGGCUAUGGUUUUGUAAUUUGCAAUUUACCUUGUACAGUUAGCGGCUAACACUUAAUCUUUGCACAUAAUUAGGCCUUUUUUUUGUACCCAACCAACCUUUUUGAUUAUUGUUUGAUAUACUUUUAUGCACAAACAGGGAGCAAAAUGAAAUUAUCACUAAGUAAAGAUCUAAAAAUAAAAAACUUAGUCAAUAGGGGCUGAAUGUAAAUACCAAUCAUUCAAGGACUAUGGAUUAAUCUUUUCCUUUAAAAGCGCACUUGUAGUGAAUGUGCUAAUCCCUAAUAAAACCCCCUCAGCUUACUUCUUUUCCUUGACACCUUCUCCAUCUUCUUCUAUUAUGCCGCUGCCCUAGAUUUGUCCUCUGUCCUUCUGACCAUGCCUGCAAAAUCUGCGAGAAACAGCACACCUCUGGCCUUGCUCCUCCUAGUUUUUUUUUCUCUGUCCUCUCUUCUUCUGUAUCUGCACUAGACCUCUGUUGCUGGAGUGACGCCUCUGACCACUAAACUGGUAUGUUGGACCUGUAUCCCAUACAUGUGUCGUGUCGUGUUGACAUGGAUAUUUUGGUGCAGACAAAAGAGUCAAGGUAUCACAGGAUGGGACCAUCAUAUGUCAAUCAUGCUAGAAUAUUGAACCCAAUGUAUUGUGAUGUCGGUUAAAAUUUUAGCAUUAGUGGCAGGUAUGGAAAUGCUAAUCAGAAGACAACAUGACAGGACAACAAUACUAGUUGUAUCUGCUAUGAUUUUUUGUAAAGUGAGCCAACUGAAUUUAACACUGGCUUCUAAUUGAAUUAUGAUAAUAUCAUCUCAAUUAAUAUGCGCAUUAUAAUGCCACAGUUUUCUCAUUCCAGAUGUAUUUGCAUGUAAAUUUUCACAUUUGAAUUUAGUGAUCUCAAACUUGGGUCUACUUCUGUUACCUGAACAGACAAUUGGGUUACUGCUGUAUCUCUUCUGGGUUUUGUUGGAAACUGAGUAACUUCAUGCAGUAAACCUUUCCCAAGUGUUUUCCCUCUCCUUAUGCUACUGCCUGCCAGGGUAAACUCAUAAAUCAUGCAUUUACUGAUCCCAACAUGUUAUCUUAUCUUUCAGUUACUAAUUGAGAUUCCUUGUGUGAAGUUUAGGGUUGGAGAGAGGAGAAGAGAAAGAUGUAGGAGAAAAUGUGACAGUGAAAAUCUGUAAUUUUACCUCCCAUAUAUAGCGAUGAUAACAAAUCCUCUAGAAAGAUGCAAGAUUAAUAUAACCCUGUUAUUUGGAUAUAUUCUGAACCAAUACAUAUAAUGCUCAUCAUGGAGGCGAAUUUAUAUCAUAUAAAAUGAAUAAAUUGAACCCAGUUUUGAGUUGAGGACUUAGUAAACAAAUCAGCAAGAUGGUAUUCAGAUCGCAUGUAAGGAGCAGAAAUUAGGCCACAUGUUACUUCACAAACAAAAGGGCUGAUGUGCUUGGUAUGCUCAUGAAAGGAUGGGGUUGGAGUCAACAUCACUUGCAGCUUCUUCGUCACAGAAGAGCUUUAAAGGUUUAAUGACAUUAAGGCCAUUCUAUUGAAGAAGAUAUCUUUACUAUGUUAACUCUCAAAUAGUGUGUGCCAUGUUCUUGUAUUUUGAAUCAGCACUCAAAUAAGCAACCACAAUUUGAUUCUUACUCCAUGUGAUAAUAUUACCUUCUAGGAAAGUAUAGUAUCCUAUAUUUAUCCCUAUCUGAUGGAGAACCAGUGCAACCAGCAUUAGUAUAUUCUUCAACCUGCAGAUGGCCAUGAGACUAACCUGGAGCUCCUUUGAAAUAUUUUACAAUAUGCAUCUCAACAUCCUAGUGAGGUACACAAGGAGCCUCCACGAAUUGACUAAUCACAUUUGCAACAAAGAAGAUAUGUGGUCUAGUGAUUGUAAGAAUAUCAGUUUGCCAACCAACUGCCAAUAUCUACUUGCAUCAGGAAGUAUCUUCCCUUGAUCUGUUGAUCAGCCACUAACUUAAUAUUAGGAUCCAAAGGAGUAUCUAAUGGUUUUGUACACAAUGAUCCAUCUUUUCAAGUAAAUCCAGCACAUUUCUUGAAGUUAGGUUGAUUCAACUUUUGAUCAAACAGAAGAAGAUGGUGGGUCCAUAACUCACAAGUCCUAGGAUCAGAACGUGGCUCUAUUACCAUGUUAACUAACCACUUGUCCUCAAAAUUUUAAGCUGGUAGGGAUUGGUCGACAAUGUAUAUUAGGCUUAACAUCUUCCCCUCAUGCCCGGGAGGGAUAAAAAAGAAAGACACAAUAUGAGACAACUUGGUUAAUUAAAUAAAUAACUGACAUAGAGGGGAUUUGAACUCAUUGGUCAUGAUGUUCAACAACCUGAGCUCUGAUGCCAUGUAAGUUUUAGAGUUACAGGGAAGAGAGAAGAGAAAAAGGUAGGUAAAACAUGAGAGGGAAAAUCUGUUGACUUCCCCUUGAUUUAUGCAUAAUUGCAACUAAAAAUUUUAGACAAAAGAUAAAGGACUAAUAUACUGCUUCUGUUUGUCUCCAAACACAUACAUAUUAGACCUUGCAUUUGUCAUACAAAGAAUCCUGGUUGAUCGCCUCUAAAUUCUUCCAUUAGCUUUUUCUUUGUUUCAUUCAUUUAGCUUUUCCUUUGUUCCAUUUAUUUUCCUCAGUCCAUUCUUUGACCUGUCACCUUGCUAUUCAGUUUUAUUGUGUUUAUAAAUUUGCAGUCUAUAAAGAAGUUUAUAAAUCUCAGUAUGGUGAGUAAACUAAAGGAUCAAAUUUAUUCUGUUUUGGAGGUCUCUGUCUAAGAAUAAUACAUGAUUACCAGCAUGGUGGUUCCGUUGUCAAAUGUAUGAGGUUUCUUUCCAAAUGUUGGAAGUAGCGAGGAUGUUUAAAUCCUGUUAUUUCUCUUUGUUUUACCAAUGCUUAACCUUGUCAUGGUGGUAACUUUUCAUUUUUUACUUGUCUAGUGUUGAUUUAGUUAUCUGCUUUUUGAUGCUGAUGUAUAAAAAUCAACUGUCUCUUUCACAUUAUGUUACUCUAAUAAUUUAUGUGAUGGUUAUGGUGCAUAUAUAAUACAUAGAGAGUCCAUAGAAUGACAUGUUAUUUCCCUGGUGAUGCAUUGAGCAUUUACUUCUCUAGAUAUUUUAUCUAGUCAAGAUUUUAUUUUGUUGCCUUUUUUGAUUGAAAAAAUCUAUCUGUUGCCACUCUUUUCCCUGCUCCAAUAUGGCACCCGAAGAUUGGCCCAACCCCCACAUAACCCCACCUACAUUGUAUGUUGAACCAAUCUUUGACUGCCACAUAGGCCAGGCAACCAAGUGGUGAAUGGACUGGGGAUCACUGGCAAUAUUCUUGAAAAAGGGAAAUAACAUCUUCCUUUCAAUUUCGAUUUUUCGAAAAUCUUGACAAACAUCUCUUUUCUAUCAAGAGUGGUAUCUCCUGUCUGGAGAACUUGCUAAAUUCCUUUGUCCAAGCUUUAUUAGGUCACCUACUAGUGAAAGACCAUGCAAAUUUACAUUAUUGGCAUAGCUUUUCACCAGAAAUUUCUAUUUAUUGGCUAGUCAUUUUUCUUUUAUUGUCCAAUGCUUGCAUCCCUGUAGACCCUAUUUCCUUUUGUUUUUAAAUCAAAUGUAUAACUCAUAACAUUGUUUAAUUAAUACUUAUCAUUUCUUUGAUUGAUAAUCAUGAGUUCCUAUUGGUGAAUCUUAUUGCACAUCCUAUUUUUCUUUCAGGGUUUCAAGUUAUAAAAGAGCUUACUGUUGAAGUGGAAAAUGUUGUUGCCCUUGCAAAACCCAAGCCUCCAACAGUUCACAAAGAAAAAACCUCCAAGGAUGAGGCAUCUGCAGUUGUAUCAUCAUCCAAUGUUGAUAACAAAAUUGAGAAGCCUUCUACCCCUCCUGACAGGAUGGCUGAGGGUGAACUGACCUAUGCCCAUAGUGAAGAUGGAUCAGAAAAAAGAUCCCCUGGCAGUCCUGGAAGAAAUGCUUUGGACAAUCCCUCUGAAGAAAAUCAUCUGACACGGUCUGGAGUACAUGACAUCUCACCCCAUGCUAGAGAAAGUAAUAGGUAUUUUGAUCCCCUACCAUUCUUUUAGCUGUGUUAAUUCUUCAACGAGGCUGAGGUACCAAAGCAAGGCAUGCAUGGACACCCAUAUUGGUGCCUAUAUUUUCUGAUGUCCCUCUUGGUAGUUUGGGAAGUCCAGGCAGGUUUGGAUGUGCGACGGGCGCGAGCUAGGACUCUGAACCAGGGUUUGCUGAGGUUAGGUUAUGUUUUUGAAAUCAGGCUGGGCCUGGGCCCUCUAAGUAGUUAUUUCAGGCAAGGCCCAAGGCCAUCCUGUUGGCAGCCCUGGUAACAUGUAAGAAAACAUUCUAAUAAGGAAUAAAAAAGAAAGAAAUCAUAAGCAAAUAAGUUGCUUCUCUCAUGAAAAUAAUAGAGAAAAUAAUUAGCAUGGUUUGCUUAGAACUUGUAGGAAUGAUGCUAGUCGGACUAUUUCAUAUGCAGCCACUUAUAUGUGCAUUGCAAACUUGUCAUUGCCUGAUUUGCUUAAAACCAUCUCAUUAAGGGCCAUUCUGAUCUGUGAUGCUUUUGUGGAAGGUCAUGCAAGUCAGAUGUGUGCGAGUCCUGACUCCUUUUCUAUUUUUGUAGUGCCUUUACCUUCUUUUAUGCCUACAACUUUGGUGAUGUGCAGUAUGACAUAAUAUACGACUGAAAAUAUGCCUGUACAGUAGCUAACGUGUAUAUUUGUUGAACAUUAAACAGUACUACCAUUAUGUCAUAUUUUCAAAAGUAAUAAUGUACAUUUUUUGUUUCCGUUUCUUGUUUUACUGUUCUUGUGAUUUCAUACGAUGGCUAGAUCUAGAGAAUCUUACUUUCUGCUAUGUACUGCAGUGAUCAUGGUGCUGCUGAAUCCUCUAUGUCGGGAGACAGGUUUGGUGAUGAGCCUUCAUGGGGUCCAACUUUUGAUCGUGGUGAUGAUGGUGACUCAAUAUGGAACUUUGAUUCAAAGGUCAAUCAAUUUAUUUUCAACAAUGCUUUGUCAGUUGCCGUCUCUCAAUGCAAUGUGCACAUGAUGGCUUUGUUUGGUUUCUGAUUUUGCAAUCUCACGCGUUCAGGAGAGUGAAAACGAUAAGGGCAGAUACAACUUUGGAUCUGAUGACUUUGGUCUAUAUCCAAUCAGGACAGACUCCCCAAGUGCAGCUAGCGUGUUUGGAAAAGAGAAGAAAAAUCCAUUAUUUGAUUCAGCUCCAAGCACACCUCUGUUCAGCUCUAGCUUCUCACCGAGGUUUAAUGAAGGGCUAGACGACAACUCUUUCGACAGUUUUGCUCAUUUUGAUCCUUUCAUAAUGCAAGAAACUGGUGUUACACACAAUCAGAUUUUUGCAAGGUUUGAUUCCAUUCGUAGCAUCACUGACUACAGUGGUGUUCCACAGAAUCAGACCCUCGCAAGGUUUGAUUCUAUACGCAGUACGACUGAACAUCCACAGCAUCAGACCUAUGCAAGGUUCGACUCCAUUCGUAGCACCACUGACUACAGUGGGGGUUUCUCUUUUGACGACGCUGACCCCUUUGGCUCGGGACCAUUCAAGACUUCAGAAAGUCAUAGCCCAAGAACUGGAACUGAUAAUUGGAGUGCAUUUUAAUCAGUAUUUCGUUACUGAGAAAGCCUCUUAUGUGUGCCCUAGUGCUGGAUUAUCCAUUCAGGAAUGAGAUCUUUUGUGUGCUCUAAACCUGUGAAGAUUGUUUGGUUGUGUUUGGAGAACGUCUGUAUUCUUUGUUAUUAUUAUUUUUUGUCCUUUAAAUCUCUGUUUGUGAGUGAUGAGAGUAGAAAAUUUUCCCUUUCUCCUGCUUCCAUAUCUCAUUUGAUGUGUCCUAAGGAACAUUCUUUAUGGCAUGUGUUCCUUAUUUGUCUUUUAAGCAUUUCAAGCAGAACAGGUUGAGCUAUUUUGUUCAUUAUUUUGUUUAUGGCGUUGGAUUCUUCCAUUUCGUGGUAACCGGAGGGCAAGGAAAGAUGAUUUUGAAUGCCAUGCGGUAAACUGAACCACAUCUCUUUUUUCUGCAUCAGAGAAAAAUUGUCUUUUUAAAGUAACAUGCUUAGGUGUCUGCUUACCGUAGGCGGAGAGUAAGGAUCCCUUUCGGUUUGUGUGGUUUGCUCAUAGGCGGAGUCUAUCUACCAUGCUAUUAUCAAGUGUCCAUGGGCCAGUCAGAUUUAGGGGUGUGGCUUGGCCCACCUUGACCCGCAGACGUUGAUUGCGGACUCUUAUCCUACUCGGAGGACUCGGUGCGAGGGCUCGGGCUUGAGGAGAGGGGGAUAUGGGUUGCAUACAUGGCCUACCAUUGCUGGUUGGGCAGGUAUGCCCAAGUUUUUGAGAGUGGUAGCUCUCAUUCGAGGAAGGUGGCAGAUAGAGCUCUACUGCAUGUGGCUGAGUUUUUCGGCAUUAUUGAGGAUUCACCUAUUGGGUUACUGCUCUUGCAGCGACCAAAACUGUAUUUGAUUCUUGGGUGCCUCCAUCCUCUGGUUUUUUCAAAGUGAAAUUCGAUGGCAGUGUCAGUAAGAGAGGAAACUGCAAAGGUGUGGGAUUCGUGAUUAGAGACCACGGCAUCAGGUUGGUGGCGGUGGGGGAAAGUGGAUCUUCGACACGUCUGUUGCUUGUUCUGAGCUUAGAGCGGCAUGAGAGGAUAUUUUCUAUGCGAGGCUGGUGUUGGGCAUGGAUCGCAUCCUCCUCAAGAAGGAUUCGGCCAUGGUGAUUGAGUGUGUUCGGGGUCGGAGAUGUGGUGCGGAGGGGAGGCCGUUGUUCUACAACGCCCUGUAGAUUGCUGGGAGAGUGUGUCUCCUAUGUAGGGAGGUAAACGAUAUUGUAAACUGAAUUGUCUCCUAUGCAGCCCACCACUUUAAAGAUUUUAUCUGGGCGAACCAAAGAUUUAUUUUUAAAUUUACUUGGCCGUAUUUACGCUCGUCAAGUGUGAACUGCCAUUGUACUAUAUAUAUAUAAAAAAAAAGCAUGCUUAAACUGCAUCUCACCAUCGCGUGCUUCUGUUUUUUUUUUUUUUUUGCUAAAAAAAAAAAGNNNNNNNNNNNNNNNNNNNNNNNNNNNNNNNNNNNNNNNNNNNNNNNNNNNNNNNNNNNNNNNNNNNNNNNNNNNNNNNNNNNNNNNNNNNNNNNNNNNNNNNNNNNNNNNNNNNNNNNNNNNNNNNNNNNNNNNNNNNNNNNNNNNNNNNNNNNNNNNNNNNNNNNNNNNNNNNNNNNNNNNNNNNNNNNNNNNNNNNNNNNNNNCGCUUCCAGACCCCGUGUCCAGGCGUGGGACAUCUGGUCCCCGAAUUUAAUCGACGCCCGUGCGUUUCGAAUCUGAAUCCGCUUGGUUGGAAGCAAACGCCCCGUUCCAACUGGGCUACCACCUUGGUGGCAAAAAUCGCGUGCUUCUGUUCCAUCAUGCCUGCAGGUCACUGGUAUGUACGGAAGUCUUGAUAUUCUGGUCCAUGCGAUUGUUGUGGGUCUUGGUUCGCAUCCGAGGUGAAACCAGGUGAAACCCUUGAAGCACUUUUAUUUUUCCUGUGGAACACUUUUCGCCUGGAAAUUAUCUAUAUAAUAAAUUCCCAGGUAUCCAAAAAUAUAGGUAUGGGUGUAUACUGGUCACUGGCUGGUAUAAUAUGUGCUUGCUGUCAUAUCCCAUGAUGACGUCCGUAUGGUGGUUGGCAAAAUGGACGAACCAACCGCUUCUUGCAUUCUUGCCAUCUCUUACAUUGCAACAUGAUUUCUGCUUUUAGAUAGCGGAGUAAUGAUGUCUUGCUUGGUAGCAUCAUCGAUGCUACUACUGUCAACUUCUCUUGCAGUGUUCAUACUUGGGAAGCGCUGGAUAUGCACCAAAAUUUUCUUUUUUCGAAGGAAACUGAUGCAUGUGUCGCGGAUUUAUCUGAUGUGUGUUAAAGGUUGAUUAGAGGAGCAAAAAGUUUGGAUAUAGGGUUUGGAUCUACGUUUUCCAAGACUACUGUAAAUGAGGGAAUAAUCUUGUGGAUUUGAUUAUAUAACGUUGAUAUUGAUCAAAUUUAGACAGAUUUAAAAAGAAAAUAGGUUUUUUUCGAGUACUAGAAUUUCGACUGAUUUAUCAUUAGCAUUGUCAUUAACCGUUGUGUAUUGGAUAUUACAUAAUUGGCCGCGUCAAAUGUCCUCCGGAAGACUUCACAUUUUCACUCGAAUCGUAAAAGCGAAGCGGAGAAAGGGGGGAAAAAGUGCUUCUUUUAUUGGCGUACGAAGUGGCGAGAGAUUUCUGCAACGUCCGAACCCUCCUCGUCGACCCGCGGCUGCCUUCAUCUACAUCCAGGUUUCUCUCACAUCCCUCCUUUCUUUCUUUCUUUCUUUUUUCCUUCCCUCCUUUUUCUCUUCAUGAAACCCUAGAAUUGUUGGUAUCUAUCAAGACAAGAGGGUGUACAGCAUAUAGAAAGAAUGCAUCAAAGAUAUUGUAUGUCUACGUUUACUUUUAGGAGGCCCCGUCACCCAAUGGUAGGUCUCUUUGUAACUUGGAUCCCUGUGGGGAGAUAUAAUAAUGAAAAGGUGCAGGCAUUGUAUCGAUAAGGAAUCUAUUGUCAGUCAAUCUUGGUGUGCUUGGUCGAUCCAUGGAAAAUCAGAUUGGGACGAUCUAGGGUGCACUUUCCUUAGUCAUGGAGUUAGAGGUGUAUAACUUCUUCUGAAACUCCAAAAUGGAUUCUCAAGUCAAAUGAUUUCGACGAUGGUUUGCAUGCCAUUAUACUUGGUGUCAAUCGUCAGAUGAGAAGUAGUGUCGUAUUUAAUAGACAAGGGGCGCUAUGGGCAUAAUGAUCAAGCUUUAUCUCAAGUAUUUUUGGCACCUUUCUCAGUCCUUAUCUACUAAGUAUUUCUGUCCGUGGCUCGAUCUCUCUAGUGCCAUUACGAGAAUUUUAAAAUAAUUUCUUGCAGAUUUCCCUCACGUUAAAGUCUUCCUCUCCCUUUUUUUGGCUCUUAAACAAAGUCUGACCACUACUUAUUGAGGCCUCCUUUAUUCUUCGUUCCACAUGCCUACACUGUUUAAAUCAACUUUGUGUCAAUGUGCCAUCAAUUUUUGCAAUCACGUACAGUGGCUCUUUUAAUGGUGCAACCCAGGAGCACGAAUUGGCUGCAAAUAAAUCUCAACAUAUGUUCCAUUGAUAAUCAUUGUUAAAGAUGUUAAGAGAGAUUGCUUGCUUGAACCUCAAGUUAUCCCUUAUUAUUCAAAAAACAAAUUGAAAUUUGAUUCAGAUUUGUUUAGGACCAUACAAUAGCUUUGCCGGUCCCAAAUCAGUAGUUUCCUUUCCUUUUUCUCUUAGGAUUUGAAAAGGAGAUAUGAUUGUAGUUUGUUUCUGUACUUGAGAGUCCCAGUGGCACUCAACUUGGCAGAGUAAAGUAAAAUGACUCAUCCACAUCUAAUUAAGGUGGGAGAGUUGGAGUGUCUAAAGGCUGAUUGGAUGAGCGAGUUAGUUUUGUCGUUUAAUAAAAGGGAAUUAGUCAAUGGUUGCCUGCUCUUCUCUAUCUUUCUACUAUUUCUUUCCACUAUUCCCCUUCUCUUUUCAUUCUUCUAUGCUUCUUCCUUACUCUUUCUGUAUUUUGUUAAGAUUUCCACAUCUGUACUCUUCAAUAUAUCUACUUUCUGCUGUAGUAUUUUUUACUAUAAUACAAUUAAAGUUUAAAAACUUGGUUUCGCUCCAUUUCUGGUUGGGCAUAAUGAACUUUGGUUUCAAUAAUUUUGGCUCAAGUUCCUGAGUUGCAGCUGCCUUCCCCUCCGCCCCANNNNNNNNNNNNNNNNNNNNNNNNNNNNNNNNNNNNNNNNNNNNNNNNNNNNNNNNNNNNNNNNNNNNNNNNNNNNNNNNNNNNNNNNNNNNNNNNNNNNNNNNNNNNNNNNNNNNNNNNNNNNNNNNNNNNNNNNNNNUUAGAGUACAUUAUAUUAUUCAUAUUCUUAGUGAUUUUGGUUGAAAGUAUGAAAAUUGUGGAUAUCUUUUGAAGUCUAGUGAAAUCAUUUCGAUUUUUGUUCUCAUUUUCUGUUCUAUUUUCCUUUGAAACUGCAGUUAGUCACUUUCUGUACUUUGAAUUUUAUCGAUCUCUAGCCCAUUAUCUUACAAAUAUUUCCCCAUAUAUUUGACCUUAUCUCAUCAACUAACAGUAUAUCACCACAAACAGCAUAUCCGCAUGGUGCAAAGAGGUAUGAGUUUAUAGCUGAUCUCUAAGCUGUUAUUCCAAUAAUAAAGAAAUGAAUAGAUAGUUAAAGCAUUACUACUUGUUAUUUGCUGGGAGGUAAGCAGGGAUUAUUUUCCAUAUUUAGGGUCUAGCAAAAUAUUUUGACCAUUUUAAUUAUGUUGACAUGACAAUGCAUCAAAUUGGUAUUAGAUGCGAGCUUGAUAUUCUGAUUAAAACGCAGCUUAGCUUAUGAGGACCAUUCAUGUCUACCUAGAUGAUUUAUUUUGUAUUUGCAGCUCUUGAAUUCUGAACCAGUGCAUACCGGAAGGCCUGGCAGAAUAAUAGCAUAUGACAAGAUUGCAAGUAGGUGUUUUUUUCUUUAUAUUUCUUGUCCAUUCCAUUUUUCUUUUUGGUUAAGAAUAUUUGCUUUUCCAGGACAUUACAAGUGGGCCCUAGAUGAGCUAUUCACCAGGCAUAAUUUCAGUCGAGUUGUCAUACUGGAAGGUGCUAAUUCAUGGCUGUUUUGAUCUUUAGUUCCUUUUGCCUGCUUUCGUCUGUGAACUUCGUAAAUAGUAGAGUUCAUAUUGCUAAACAGAUGAUAUGGAAAUUGCACCAGAUUCUUUUGACUGUUUUGAGGCCACAUCUGCUCUACUCGAAAAGGAUAAAUAUGUUCCGUGUUGGUUUGCUCAUUAUAUCUUCAAAACUUUUUUUUUAAGAAAAAAAUAUAUCUUCAAAAGUUGGGAGUUCAUUCUUAACCAUUCUUUUCUAAUUAUUUUGCACCAUUAUUUCCCCUGAUGUGGUACUAUUGAAGAAUGAUCAUGGCUGUUUCUUCUUGGAAUGAUAAUGGACAAGUGGAGUUUGUGCAUGAUCCUGGUAACUUUCAUUUUAAAGAUUUGUCUUUUGUUUUUAUUCGAUAGUUAUUUCCCUGAAGGCCUUUUCUUUCUUUAUUUGUUUAUUACUCUGAGUUCACUUAGAAUAUUGAAAAGCAUUCAUGCAAGCUGUUUCUCAGUACAUUAUGCAGAAACUCUUUAUCGUUCAAAUUUCUUUCCUGGUCUUGGAUGGAUGCUGACAAAAUCUGUAUGGGAUGAACUAUCACCAAAUUGUCCUAAAGCAUAUACUUUGUUUCACGAUUUUCUGGUCUAGGUUCAAACAUUAGUCAACCUUACUCAGGAAAUUCUUGCUUGUGGAUAACUGGAUGAGGUUAAAGGAGGUACAAAAGGAUUGUCAUUUAUUCUUCCAGAAGUUUACAGAACAUACAAUUUUGGUGAGCAUGUAAGUUUUUUUUUUUUUGAGGUGUGGUGAGCAUAUAAGUUGAUGGCUAUAUUUUAUUUGCUUUAACAAGAACGUUACUUCGCCUUUUCUCCUACCGAGCUGGUAUGAUGUGUUAACUGUCGACUGUCAUAUUAUGUUUUUAUUACAGGGUUCUAGCAUGGGGCAAUUCUAUAAACAAUACUUGGAGCCUAUUAAACUAAAUGAUGUCCAUGUAGGUAAAACUAAUUUGCUCUUGAUCUUUUAGUUGUCUUUUAGCUUUGAUUUUUGAUGAUCCUUUCUUAUCUCAUACGUAUCAUCUUUGAUUGAUUACUACCAGAGGUUGAUUGGAAAUCAGUGGAUCUGAGCUACCUGAUGGUGGUAAUUUUAUUUGUCUAAUUAAUUUCAUGGUAAUGUGAUUAAUCUGAUACAUUAUUUUUUUUUUUCCUGACACUGGCCAGACAAGUAUUUAAAUCAUUUUGCCAAAAUUUUGUCCAAUGCUAGACCUGUCAAUGGACCUGAUGCCAUUCUGAAGGUGCAUAGUGUAGAUGUUGAUGUGCGUAUCCAGUAUAGCGACCUGAGAGAUUUUGAACUAUUAGCCCAUCAAUUUGGAAUAUUCGAAGAAUGGAAGGCAAUUCCUCUCCUGUUUUAGUUUCACUUAAUUAUUGGCUUUCUGUGGGACAUCUAAAUGCAAGCAUGCACCCCAGGGUGCACGGCCCACAUGCACGAACAUAUGCAUGCGUGCAUGCAUAUGUAUGCCCGCAUGCGUGCAUGCAUAUGUGUGCCUGCAUGCAUGCAUGCAUAUGUAUGCCCUAGUUACACCUUCCACAAGAACCAAAACUUCACGAUCAAUCACAAAUUAUAUUCAUAUUAAAACUAAUAUUAGUUGACACAAACUCUAUUGCUAUUGUCACAUAUCCCAGCCAGCAUGCAUCUAUAUCGAAACACAUUAAUCUUUGUUGAGGGAGCACUUGAUUCCUUGGUGCUAAACAUAAAAGGAGCUGAGAGUUGGAAUCUUGGACAAUUUGUUGCCAUAUUGUAGCAUCUUCUGUUUCUUAUAUCGACUCUAUUUCCUGUUCUAGAAUUCAUUCCCUUAGAAUUGCUUUCUUUUUCUUAUUUUAUUUGUAGGAGGUUCCUAAAUUAUUUUGUUUUUCAUGGUUGAAUUGUUGCUUUAAAUAAAUAAAAAUAUCAUUCACCAUAUUUAAGAUUCAUCAACAUUAUAGCCUUAAACAAAUGCCAUCAUAUCUACUUACUGUUCUCCACUUUCUGCUUGUCAAAAACAACUAAUUCUUUUUCCAGGAUGGCAUUCCAAGAACAGCAUAUAAAGGAGUAGGACUCUGAGACGUACUUGUGGGUCCAACUUCUCUCAAGCUACUUGGAAUAGAGCAUUCUUGACAAUCAGAGCACACGUCACUGCUUUUACUGGGGCUACCAUCUUUGAUGAAUGAAAAAUCUAGUUGUUAGAUAUGGUUGGAAAUGACUAUGAAGCCUUAUUUAAGGAUGGAUUCAUACACGCAACUCAGCUGAGCAGCACUUGCAAGGUUUGCAGAUAUUCACAAAAAGGAUGGACCGACAAAGCACAGGCUUUUGAGAAGAAACAGAAGAUCCAUCUUUCAGCAGCAUGACUCAUGAUUUGAUUGCCUUAAAUGAAUUUUUGUCUACCUGCAUAGAUUUUACCUGUCAGAUGCACCCAUGUUAGAUCUUCACUUGUAUGGCACAUCACAAAAUGCUAUACAAAGUUUCCUUGAUGCAGGUAAGAUGAUACGUUAUCAGAAAUACAGAGCAACAAUGACAGCAGGUAUCGAGUUCGUUGAUCUUUUGAUGUUUCACCCUUCUGCUCUGUUCUAUAUCUUAAUUGUCCACAACUGCUUUGGUACUUCUUCUGCACCACUGGUGUUGAUAGCUUGAUAUUUUGAAGGUCAUGACCGCAUGAACUCCCCAUAGCUUUGUUGCAGGAAAACAACAUUUCUUUUUCUUUUAAGACUGUUGUGGAAUACAUAGAUCCCAUAGAUCCAGACAUUAUGUUAUGAAAUAUAAAGUUCCGAAGGCAAACCAUGGUUGAUCUGAUAAAAUUAUGUUUUAAGUGCCAGUUUCUCAUCGAUCUAGUUUGGUAUGGCUGUUAUAGACUGGUACUUGGUAAACUUGAACAAAAUAGAUGGCUAAUCUUGUACUGAUUUGCAUUCUGAAGUAUGACCUGUCAUAACCAGCACCUGCCCAAACCCAUAGUGGAAGCAAAAGAUAAACAUAGUCUAACCAAGUAAAGUUGCCGUCGCCUUGACCCAGUAUGACAACAGGUUUUCUGCCAUCAUAUUGCCUUUCUUAUGAAUUCUUGCUGUAUUCCACCAGCCCUCUAGUAUUAGUGCACUUGAUAUCUUGUUAUCUUUGGUUCUACCAUGGGUACACUGCUAAUCUAUUGCAACUAUGAAAUGUAUAAUUUAUAUGAAAUGUAUAAUUUAUAAUUUUAUAUAUGAAGGCACCAAAACUAUUGUUUUGGCUUUAGAUAAAUCUUAAAUGUGGUGUCACCUCCAAGCCAAUGCAUUUCAGAUAAACAUUUGGAGGAGAAUGGCUUAGUCUUCCGCAUCGAUGAUCUUGACUUGAUCAACUAAGUUUAUUUUAUCAAUCAUCUUCACAUCACAAAUGAGACCAACCUUUGGAGGGACGCCAUGUCGUAUUAGGUUGGCGUUUUAAGUUAUUAUCACUGUCUGCUGAUUCGCAGAAUAGCCAUUAAAGGGUGGAUUAUUGGCAUUUAGAAAUGACACUUGGCUCCUAGUCCUCAAUGAAAAUAGAAUAAGUUUUCUACACCUGCCACACAAUCCUCUUGGCACAUCCGCGCUGCCUCCUUUCCUUUGAGCAGCAUUGAUUGGCAGAUAUAAUAAAUUCUUAAAGGCAUCCUACCAACCCUAAACUAUUAUAUUGGCUUACAUAAUUAACUUGGUUGGCCAAUAGUUUUAGAUUUACAGCUGGAACUUUGGGGAUCGAUGGUGGAGUGCGAAAUAUAUAUAUAAUGAAACUGCUAAUGAAAUCAUUAUUGUGUGGUGUAUCAUCUGAGCUGAACUGUUUGAUAGUUGUGUUCGAUAUAAGGUUUUUACUUUUUGACCUGCUUGGCUGCAAACCUAACCCAUGCUCUUUUGGAGGGUAAAAGCUGGCCUCAGGAAAUGGAACCAUGGUGGGAUAUAUAAUACAGAGAAAAUACUAGCUGGCUUCGAUUUUAAUGCAUGAUGUUUUAUGUGAGACUGAAGGUCUAUGGUGUAACGUUACAGCCGGCUAUUUAAUUUACUAUUUGAAUCUGCUUUUCAAAAUGUCAUAAAUGUUAAAUCUUUUGUGGGAGCGAGGGAGCGAGAGCUGUGAGGAUCCAUGUGAGUGUGUAUUUAGUUUCACAUCGGUUCUUUGCUGGUAGAUUUUAAGUACCUAGAUCAAAAAAUUCAAAUAAUACUUUCUGCCUAGCAAUUUUGGAUGAGGUCUUGGGUUGUUACAUGAGCGUAUGUCUAUGGCUAAACAUGUUUGAAUAAAAUUAUUUAACAGCCCAUUGUUGAUGAAUUGCUUGAUACACCCAUUUUUUAGACACGAAUAGGCAAAGGCCACUCGAAAAAACAAGGUGUCUCUCCUUCUAAUAAGCUGGGAUUUUAGGUUCUGACUCUUGAAGUGCUUCUUCAUCUCUUUGGAAAUGGAAAGCACAAAAGGGAGUGAUAACAACCCCAUAUUGUGAUAUACUCUAAGACUCAGCUUCCCCUGCACUGGUUGGUAGGAAAGGAGAUGAAUAGACCCACCUGCCAAAGGAAGCAAGUUGUUGGUGUUAGCAUAGCUGUGACUGCACGUCUGGUUGUUGGCACCCAUCCAAUUUAAUCAGAGUCUAACAUUUUGCCUUAGUUUGUCUUUGAUUAUUUUCUUUCUUUUUUCUUAAAAAAAAAAUUAAUGGAAAAUCUAUUUUGAUUCGUGUUUCUUUUUUUUAAUUUCUAUAUUUCUUAAAAUUGAAUAGAAAGUUUUAGAUCAUUAUUACUCUUAAAGUGGGAUCUUCUCUUACUCUUCAUGUGCAGAGUAUACGUAGAAGUUUCCGAGAGCCCACCUUGAAAUAUCGUAGCAAAAUCCAAUCAACUUGAAAGAAAUUAGAAGUCUUGAGACCAACGUCCGCCUUGUUUUUACCCGAGUAAAGAAAACCGUAUCGUAUCUAAUCUAACGCUACGUUCUUGUCCUUGCCACUCUUAAGGAAAAAAAGCUGGAAUCCGCUUACCUGUUCCUCCUCUCGUCACGCUUGACGUCCCUCGUAUUUCCCUNNNNNNNNNNNNNNNNNNNNNCCGGGAAAAAAAAAACACCAUGACGUUCUCUUCUUAUUCCAUGGGUCAACCGCCAUAUCUUGGCCUCAUUCCCCUUCUUCUAUUUCUCUUCGUCGCUGGAUCUCUUCUCUUCUUCCUCGAAGCCGCUUGAGAUUUCUCUACAAACCCGAGGAAAGCCGGGCAUGGCCGGGGAAUUAGGAUUUCUGAAGGAGCGCCAAGAAAGAUCAUAAGGAGGAAGAGGAGGAGAAGGUAUAAAGCGGCAAGAUUUGUUUUUUUUUUUUUUGGUGCUUUUCUUUCGUUCUUUUUAAAGUUUUCUGCCUUGUCCUGUGGUGGUCUGUCUGUUUUGGUUGCUUUUUUUUGUUUCAUUUCUUAAUGCCUGUAGUUCAUCGUGGUCUGAGGUUUUGUUUGUAGCCCUUUCAUUAGUAUGGAAGAAAGAUCUUUGAAUCAAAGCUGGUGGAGGUAAAUUUGUGGUGUUUCCAGUAUAUGGAAUGGAAUUUUAGAAGGUGAACACUACUAUAUAUUUCCUUUUUUUCUUUUGAAGAAGAAAUGAGAAACCUAUAUAUGAGUUUAUUUUUUGGAUGGGAAUAGAUGACACUUGUCCCUUUUAAGAAAUUAAGCCGUUAAACAUAGUUAGUCACAUGAUCAGUUUUGUUGUAGUGAACAAUCGAAGGGGGAAAAAAGGGAACUUGAACAUUGGAUAUUUGGGACUUAAUUUACGCUGAUAUUUGACAAGCUUUUUUUGAGAAAAAGUUAAGAGUGCCAAAAUAAGAAAAAUUCAGAAAGGUUUAGCACUAGUGGAGUACAAGAGGGUCAAAAGGAAAAAAGAUUUGGUGACUGAUAGUAAGGCAUAAUAAAAGCAACAAUAACAUUAAGUCACUCUUAAGUGGAGUUUAAAAUGGGGAUGUAUUUGUUCUCAAAAAAAAUGCAGACAUGCGGUAGGCGAGGAGGUUGGAGAAGACAAGCUUGAGCGGAAUGAUUUGGUUAUAGCAGGAAAGUAAUGAACCUGAUCAAACAAGCUGGGCAUUGACCCAUCCCCUCAAAAGCUGAUCCUGUUAUAUUUUCUUUUUAUUCAUGUUCCUCUGAACUAAAGACAUCCUUGAGUUAUUUAUCGAAUUUUUUCCACUGCCACUUUGAAAUUAAUCAAAUUAGAGUAAGGAAUUGAUUCUGAAUUUCUUAUUCUCAUAGAGAUUUGCUCAUUUACGGUAGCAAGGGCUCCAAGAGUCUCCAAAUAGCUCAGCUGGCUGACAGGAUCAAGCUCGUAGUAAUGGAACAGAUUCGGACCUUAUCUGACUGUGAGUGGCAAAAGUUAUCUUUUUUGCUAAAAUUGGAAUUUUUGAAUUGUUGGUUCCCCUCUGCUCUUCCUUCAGUUUGUAAUUUUUGUUAGAGUCUUUGUCCGUGCUUGUUUUUCUUGUAUUUCCUUUCAUUCUGUUAAUGAAAGUGGAUGGGUUUCCCAACUCUUUCUUGAUAAAGAUUAAAUAAAUAGAUAACACUAUCACAAAGUCUUAAUUCUUGUUGCAGGGAUUACAGAAGAGACGACAGAAAGCUCAGAGGGAGAUUAUCACAAUGUUGAACAAGCUGAUGAGAGCUAUCAUGGAAAAUUACAUAUUGAACCUAUAUUUUCAGCAUUUAUUUGUCCUCUUACUAAGCAAGUUAUGCGGGAUCCUGUUACCAUAGAAAAUGGGCAUACUUUUGAGCGUGAAGCAAUCGAGAAGUGGUUUCAGGAAUGCAGGGACAGUGGAAGGUUGCCCAUUUGCCCACUGACAUUGAAAGAGCUUAGUAGUACUGACUUGAACACUAGUAUAUCUCUACGAAAUACCAUCGAAGAAUGGUUCCAAAGGAAUGAAGCUGCUCAUAUUGAAAUGGCUUGUAGAUCAAUCAGUUCUGGAAGCUCAGAAAUAGAUGUUUUGCAAGCUCUAAACUAUAUUGAGCAUAUUUGCAAGAAAUAUAGGUCAAGCAAGCAUGUUGUGCACAAUGCAGAGUUAAUUACAAUGAUCACUGACAUGCUGAGGAGCAGCAGCAAGAGAGUACGAUGCAAAGCACUAGAAGCUCUUCGGACAGUAGCAGAAGACAAUGAUGAAAAUAAGGUUGUCCUAAGGUUUGCAAUUUUAUAUGCAACUUUCUUUGUCUUCAUGGAUCCACGUUCUUAAAAUUUUGUCCUCAUAUUCUUUCUUAUUAUGCAGGAAGUCGUGGCUGCAGGAGACAAUAUACGCACGGUUAUAAAGUUAUUGUCACAUGAGUAUUCUGUGGAGAGGGAAUUAUCUGUUUCUCUGUUAUAUGAGCUUUCAAAAUCUGAAUCGUUAUGCGAAAGGAUUGGGGGUGUAUAUGGAGCAAUACUUUUAUUGGUCGGAAUGGCAAGUAGUACAUCAGAAAAUAUCUUGAUUGUUGAGAAAGCUGAGAAGACUCUGAUGAACCUGGAGAAGUGUGAGGAAAAUGUCAGGCAAAUGGCUGAAAAUGGCCGGCUGCAGCCUCUUCUUAACCUGCUUCUUGGAGGUGCUUUCUGCCUCUUAUCCAUGAUCCUGCUAUUGUUUCCUUUAUGAUGUACUUUCUUGGUUAGAAUUGAUGAUCUCUCGAACCAAGCUUUCAAUGUAUUAUCUACUCUCUCAAGAUUUCAUGUUUAUCAAUUGCUUUUCUAACGGAGCUCAUUUGUGGGUGCGGGCAUGAUAAGAAUGUCAAGUUCAUUUGGCCUGAUAAUAGCUUCAAGCUUGUCUGUUGAUGCAUAUAUUUUGGCAAGAGCUGGCUACUGAUAUAUGUCUUGACUAGUUUCCAUUAAUUAAAAGCUAUCUUUUUAGUAUACGAGACACUACUUGUAGCAGCCAGUUCUCUAAAUAGGGACUGUUUGUGCAGAAGUAGCUUUCCCUUUUUUUCAUCAAAAAAUGCCAGUGAAUUAUCCUCCAGCUUCUUAGCUUACCAGUAAUCUGUAAACUAAUGCAGGUCCACCUGAAACGCAGAUGUCCAUGGCUGCAUACCUUGGGGAGCUAGUUUUGAGCAAUGAUGUGAAGUUCUUGGUGGCCCAAACAGUGGGUUCAUCACUGGUCAAUGUCAUGAAAACUGGAGGUAUCCAGGCAAGAGAGGCUGCUCUUAAGGCGCUGAACCAGAUUUCAUCAUAUGAGGCAAGUGCCAAGAUACUAAUCCAAGAAGGGAUCCUUCCUCCUCUUAUCAAAGACCUCUUUGCUGUUGGCGUCAACCAGCUUCCCAUGAGAUUGAAAGAGGUUUCUGCAACAAUUCUUGCCAAUGUUGUGGCUUCCUCUGCUGAUUUUGAGGCCAUCCCACUUAACGAUGACAACCAGACUUUGGUCUCUGAAGAUAUUGUCCACAACCUACUCCAUCUCACCAGCAACAGCGGUCCCGCAAUUGAGUGCAAGCUUCUUCAAGUCCUUGUUGGUCUAACUAGUUCUUCGACAACAGCUCUAAAGGUUGUUUCUGCCAUUAAGAGCUCUGGUGCUACCAUCAGUUUGAUUCAAUUCAUUGAAGCUCCACGGAUGGAUAUCCAGGGGGCCUCCAUAAGGCUCCUGCAAAAUAUAUCACCUUUCAUGGGUCAAGAGCUGGCUGAUGUCCUUCCAGGUGCUUCUGGUCCGCUUGGCAGCUUGAUUAGAUUAAUCUCAGAAAGUAAUGGCAUCUCAGAGGAACAAGCAGCUGCCAUUAGUCUCUUAGCCAACCUUCCUGAAAGCGACUUGGGUCUCACCAGGCGACUCUGGGAAGAAGGGACCUUCAACAUAGUCAUUUCCAGGGUAGUAAUGAUCCGGCAAGGGGGAACUCGAGGCACCCGCUACGUCACUCCUUUUCUUGAAGGGCUUGUGAGAGUUCUUUCAAGGCUCACGUACUCUCUGCAUGAUGAACCUCAAUAUGUUGCCUUCGCUCGUGAUCACAAUCUUGCUUCACUUUUUACCGAUCUACUUCAGAUGAAUGGCAUUGAUAAGGUACAAAUGGUUUCAGCUAUGGCAUUGGAGAAUCUUGCAAAGGAAUCCAGACAUCUCACCAGGUUUCCAGAGACCCCUGAACCAGGAUUCUGGAGCUCUAUAUUCCCAUGUUGUAGUAAGCCACCAGUGGUAACUGGACUAUGUCACAUCCACCAUGGUUUCUGCUCCAUGAAGGAGAACUUCUGUCUUUUGCAAGGGAAAACACUGGAGAAAUUGAUUGCUUGUUUGGACCAUGCAAAUGAGAAGGUGGUAGAGGCUGCCUUGGCAGCACUAUGCACUCUGCUGGAUGAUGGGAUGGACGUUGAGCAAGGGGUGAUGGUGUUGUGCAAGGCCGAGGGGAUCAGACCGAUACUUGACGUGCUGCUUGAAAGUCGAACAGAGAUACUCCGCCACCGAGCAGUUUGGGCUGUUGAGAGGAUAUUAAGGACACAGGAUAUAGCCAAUGAGAUUUCAGGGGAUCAAAGUGUGGGUUCAGCCCUGAUCGAAGCUUUCCGGCAUGGGGAUUAUGUAACAAAGCAGAUUGCAGAGAGAGCAUUGAAGCAUACAGACAGACUGCCAAACUUCUCUGAUGUUUUUCAGAAGAGAAGUUGAUACGUGCGAGAUGGAUGAGGCAUGGUUUAGUUUGUUAUCUUUACGUUUUUUCAGCAUUUUUCAAUCUUUUGUUUUCCACAAAUUGGUAGGGGAUUCAGAUUUUUUUUCUUAUGUUCAUUGAAUUAGUUUUCAAAUAUCAUGAUUGGUGAUUGGUGUUUCUCCAUGAGCGAGAAAAUUUAUGAAACGAGAGACAAGUUUUCCUUCUGAGGGUUUGCUUUUGUUUAACUUUUUCUUCUUGUAAUUAGAAAGUGGUGGAUGAGUGAGAUUACCUUUUAUUUAUUUAUUUAUUUCUUGAAGUUGUGGUGGGAAUCAAAUUUAACAGCUGCCUAAGUUCAACAAGCUUGGUACCUUGCAAUGUCUUGAUGGGAAUCAGAUUUAAUUUGAGCAAGUUUGCUCGAGAUCAUAUUAAAAGAGCGCAAAUAUGCUCGAUUAGAAGCAGAAAGAGUAUUACUCAUCAGCUGUGUUUCCAAAAUUGUAGCAUCAAACAAAUAAUGAAGGAUAACAAGUAUUAGAUCAUUGAGAUAACUUUAACCAAAGCCAAAAUAAAGAUACUAGGGUGGACUGAAAAUGUAUACAGGCGUUAUAGUGUUUUAUAUUGUUUAAUUAAGCAGAAUAUGAUUAGAUAUAAAUUUGUUGUAGAGUAGGUGCGGCAAUUUUUGUUCCGAUGCUACCGAACUUGGACCCGGCCUAUCUAACCUGACCCAUUGCAUUCAUGGGUCGGGUUGGGUUGGGUUUGGAUCGGGUUCCAGAAAAAUUCAUUCAAGACAUUCUUUGUGGUAUCAGGCAUACAUAAUAUACAAUGUAUAAUAUAUAAGAGAGAAAUUUUGGUAGGAGAAUCAAAAUCCAGCUUUUAUAAGAAUCAAUACCUAAGCUUCUCUAGAAACUCAAACUAUGAUUAUAGUUCGAAAUCUACCUUCAAUCACUCGAGAUAUUCAAAAUUUAAAUUUAAAAUUUUUAAAUUUGAUUUUGAGCUUAGUUUUUUAAUGACUAUACACCAUCUAUUUCUCUCAGGAAUGUUUUCAGGUAGUACUGUUUAACAGAAAGUACAUAUUUGGGGAGGGCUAUUCUUCUAAACCUACCGUCAGAAAAAAUACAUAUUCCUUUCAACGAUCUCCAUAUUUGGAUUUUCCAAAAUAUAGACUCUCUCUAGCUUUUAGCAAGGAUUAAAAUCCAAUAAAGGCAUAUUUGGAAAAUCCAGUCUAAUUCUGUUGGGUCUUAUAUAACCAUCAUUUUAUUUCUCAUGGGCUCUAACGAGCACCAUACACUUCAUCAUCGUUUCUGGAAUAAAAAUUUUCAAGACAUAACCAUACGUAGAGCCAAGCAUGGAGUUUAAUGGCAGGUGAUAGCCGCCAUGGGAUUCCUCAUGACAUGCUUGUCUGAAACCCAAGACAGUUUGCCUUCUAAAACCUGGUUGCUCCCAGGAGAGGCUCCGCUGAAGCUUAUCUCAACCGUAAAACUCUGCUCUUCAUUAAGGCUGGAAAACUGAAGCUUGUUUGGAGCGACAACCACCUUCGUCACCUUCACCGAGUAAACCGAGUUGGGCUCCCCUACAUUCGUCACCGUUCGAUUUACAGUUAUCGUCUUCGUCGACAAUCUCCGCAGAGCCGUGGUCAUCUGGCCGACUUGAUCAUGGUAGGCGACCACUCCGGGUGCCAUCGGGGCAUCCUUCGGCAUCGCAGAUUCGGUAGGCGGCGACGUGAGCUUUAGGUGCCAUUCCAGCUGCUGUGCCCUUGGCUUGGCCGAGGACAUCGGCGUCGUAGACGAAGUUCCCCGCGGCCGUGCCGGCGGCGUGGGUGCCAUGCCCGAUCUCGUCGACUGGAGUCUUCGCGCGCACCUACGACCUUGCGCCGAUGAGCUUGUUGUUCCACCGGUUCUCGCUCAGCUCAUAGCGCCCCCGCCACUUGACAGGCGGCGCCGGCAUGCCGGCAUCCUUGAAGGAAGAGUGAGCGGGGGUGAUUCCGGAGUCGAGCACCCCGAUAGUUAUCCCCUCCCCCUGGUUGGAGUGUUCCCAGAGACUGUUCCAUUUGUUCAGGCCGAGAAACUCGGUAGUGUACGUGGCGUGAGGGGGUCGCGCUUUUCCUCAUAGGCAUGGACAAGCCCGUCCAUGACCUCAAUGGCUUUCGAUUCCUCCCGCGUUAGUUGCUUUUCUUCCCUUUUCUUCCUUUUUUAUUUUUAUUUUUUCCUUGCCCUCUUUACGCCCAUCGGAUAUGGAUGCAGCCUAAAAAUUAGAAAGUAGAAAAACUUGCAAGGAAGAUAGAACACAGACAUGGUUCUUCCAAAUAAAAUCUCUGAAAUAAUAAGCUGCAUCAGAUGCCAUCCAAUCCGCAGCACCGUUGGCUUUUCUAUAAACAUGAGUAGUCCGAUGGAAGACGCAUUCACCUAAGAGACGGCGAAUGUCGUAGAGCAACCGCAUCCCAUCAUUAACAUUCUUGGGACUUUAGAUCCCUUCAAUCACCGUGGCAGAGUCUCCCUCAAGGAUGAUACAGUCUGUACUCAGCAUUCGUGUCACAUAAGAGACUCCCUCCUAAGUGGCUCUGAUCUCGGCCCCGUUGGCGAACUGAUCGAAGAUAUGCCGACCCCCAGCUCCCGCAUUGGCUUUGUUACGAAGCCAUUGAUCUCAUUGUGGUAGGUGUACACCAGUCGUAGCUCGCCGAAGUCUAGAGUGGUGUUCGGCAAGAAGGAUUUGUACCAACUCUUGCGUUCCUCCACGCUUAAGUUAAUGCCAUUCGGCAUGAAGUAUGUAAAUCUAGAUCUAGCUAAAGUUGCCUCUUUCUUUUUAGUAGAUCAGCGACUCACACAUAACGGGUGUGGGUGCAGCCCAUAAAGUCAGAAAGAAACAAAAAAUACAUAGAAGACGGGACCGAGACGUGAUUUUCCCAAAUAAAAUCUUUAGAGUGAUGAGCCGCAAAGGAUGCCACCCAAUCCGCCGCGCUGUUUGCCUCUCUGAAGACAUGGGUAGCUCGAUGGGAGGCGCACUCCUGCAAAAGACUGCGAAUGCCGUGUAUCAGCUGCAUCUCAUUGGCAGCACGAUACGAAUCCUGUAUCCACUCGAUCACCGUGGAUGAGUCCCCCUCUAAGAUAAUACGGUCCACGUCCGGCACUCGCGUUGCAUAGGAGAUGCCCUCCCAUGCAACUCUGGCCUCGGCACCAACCAUAGUCUGAUCGAAGAUCCGUCUGCCCCUAGUUGCCACAAAUCUGGCUUCUUGAUCUCUGAUAACAAAUCCGGCACCGCCGUCCCCUCCUUCACUGAUGUUGCCGUCAAAGUUCACCCUGAAAAAAUUAGGAGGUAGGGGCUCCCAAGAGACGAGUAUAGUCCUGGACGCUACAAGAGCAGAAUGAGAGCUCCAGAUUUUUUUAGCCAUCCCAAAGGACGACGAUGCAGUGGCAAGGACCUCCGCCACAUGAAGAAUGUCCCUGUCCACCACCAGCCUCGGUUGCACUCCUCUUUCCUCGAAAACUCGGGCAUUCCUAUCUAGCCAGCAGUGACAAGCUAGAUAAGCCGCCCUAAUCCCCUGCUCUACAAGGGCGGUUCUCCGAGAGAAAUUUUUCAGAAAGAUUAGGAAUUCCUAUGUCGACGUCCAUUGCUAUAUCAGGUCGAAGGAGGCCGAGGCGCACUUCUAGAUUUGGACAGUCCACUUACAGCUGAAAAGUACAUGGAAGAUAUACUUCUCCACCUUCCGGCAAGCCCAAUAGCCUAGGAGGACGCUAACCCUUCACCAAGCCAGCACUCCUUUGGUGGGCAAGCACUCCAAGCAAAUUUUCAAACAAAUAGGGCCACUCAGGGAUGAAUGCGCAAUCUUCAGUUUCAGCCUCCCUUUGGCUGUCAAGUAUGGGCAAGAGUUGGCUAUGGCUGAUUAAUAGAGCAUGAUUGGAUAAGAAGAAGAGAGUGGUUAAGACAGAGGAUGGAGUCCUGUUUAUCCAUUAUCAGGAGGAGCAGAAGAAAGAAGGGAAGCUACGGUGGUCUUUAAGCUGUGAGAGGGACCUCUAGACCUACAGGAGAUGGAAUUUAUAGAGGGAGGGAAUGUUUAUGGCGAGCUGAGGGAAUGCCAUGAAGAAAUAAGGGAACGGGGGCAGGAACAAGAAGGUCCCCACUACGGUGGCUCGUCCUAGUGCCAACUUUUAAUCAUUUUUGGGUGGGAAAUUAGGAGGUUUUGGCAUCCUAGGGUCGAGAAGUGGUAGGAAACGGUCCAUGCUACUACUAAUAGUGGUAAAGCAGUUGUGCUAAGAGUAGAAGGCUAAAGUGAUCAAUGAUCAAGUUGGGCACAAAUGAUCAGCUGAUAGAUUGUAAUGGCCGCAAUUAUAAGAAAAUCCCAAGUCUGGAAAUAUUUAAUCUCAUCAACAACGAACAAAGCUAUAUAACAAAACAUGAAGUUAUGCUGCAUACUGUGCCAAAAUGGGACCAAUUAGGAGACAUCAUGUCAACAAAAUUAUGUGGAAACUAAUCUUGCUUUUUUUUUUUUGUCACAACGACGACUUACACACAACGAAUGUGGGUGCAGUUCAUAAGAUCAAAAAAGAUGAGAAAAUACAAAGACGACGGAACCAAAGUGUGGUUGUCCCAUAUAAAACCUCCAAAAUGCUGAGUCACGAAGGAUGCUACCUAGUCAGCCCCACUGUUUGCCUCUUUAUAGAUAUGAGUGGCCCGAUAAGAGGUGCACUCAUACAUAAGACGGCGGAUGUCAUGUUACAAAGUUUUAUACACAAGUAUUGGCUUGUAUGGCCUCAUUUAUUCCAUUGUUGCAACAUAAACAGCAACCAAAAUGGCAGCUUCUCGGUUUGCAUUAAUAUCUGGUGUCUUUUUCUAAAUGGAUCACAUAACCAAGUUGUGGUGCUUUUGGAAGGAAUCAUUUACUAGCGAACAAGUGCAAAUACACGUUGAGGAAAAAACAAUUCAUCAACAUUUUGAUUUAUUUUGGUUGUUUUGGAGGAACAGAAUUUGGAGAGAGAUGAGAUAGAGAGAGUGUGGGUGCGGGGAAUGGAAAAUGUUAAUUAAACGAGACCCUUCAUUUUAAAUGCCCUCCAAGUAUCCUUUGGCUUUGCUCCGGAUGAAAGAAAGGAGAUGAGAGAGAGAUAGUUAUAUCAUUGGUUUUUUAUCUCUCUUUUUGAAGGACCACCGAGUGUUUUUUUUCUUUUCUUUUUAGGGUUAAAACUAACAACGUUUUAUGAACCGCCCAGAAGAGAGAAAUGUACGUAGAAAUCUAUACUUUCACCAUCUACCUGCAGAGGAGAUCCCUAGAAAACAUUUUUUAAACUAAUACCCUCAAGUAUGAUGCGUCUAAUUAUGAAAUUUAUGAAGCUAUGCCAAAAUUUGACUUGACGACUAAAUUUAUGAAGAAAUGCCUAAAUUUAUGCUUCAUUUGCAAGGGAAAGCUGCCUUUGUUAACUCACAUAUUUAGUAUUGGUGAGUUUGUUGCGAUGCAAUUUUAAUCCAGCAUUGAAUACAAUUUUAUUCACAGAUAGAGAUGUUUCUAUUUUAUAUCUUUGCAUACUACGAAAAUGCUUUUAUAUAGUUGAAAGGGUAUUAUACAUACAUCAUGUACACACACACACACACACAUAUAUAUAUAUAUAUAUACAUGUAUACAUAUAUUAAUAUAUAUACAUAUAUACACACACAUGGAGAGAGAAAGAGGGGUAGGUUUAACUAUACCAUGUGGAUCUUCAGUCAAAUUCAAUCAAGUAUAGAUCAUAUAAUUGAAAUAUUAUAUUGAUGAUCUUGAGCUGCUGGAUACAACUUAAUACCUCUAAACUACUUAUACAUAAAAUAUAUAUAUAAUUUGGAGAUCUCUAACAUAUGUAUCAAAGGGUAAUACAUCAAAUGAUAGCCUUGACCCAAGUUAAGAAGUAGAUGGGUCAUUCAUAUGUGACAGUUCUUUAAAUUUUCAAUUGGAUCGGCCCCAACACGGACAAGUCAUCUUUCUUUCUCUAACCCACAGACCAUCAUCUCUCUUUAUUGCAGCUAGGUUGAUUGGGUCCAGCCAAGUUGAUCUGAGGCCGGGGUUCUAAGAAGCAUGUUGGGCUCGAGCUAGAUAUUUCAGGCUUUAGAUUGCGUCGAGCUCAAACCAGGAUCCUUUUUCUUUGAUGAACGUGACUACGCACCGGACAUUUUUCUUUUCACGUGAAUUCCACGUGAGUACCAUACAAAAGUUCCUUUCUGGCUUUUUCCGGAGCGCAAGACUUCCAUUCCUUUUUCCCGUCCAAAUCCUCACCCGAAAGGAAAUUUUCAUCGAUCACGGUCUUGGAUCAGAAAUAGCGACAAAACAUAAGAGAUUAUAAUGAUAGUAAAAAAUAAUGACACGGAAAUAUCAUACCAUACCCGAGUAACCAGCCUAACUCUUUAAAAAAAAUAAUAAUAAUUUUACAUAAGUAUCCUUUUAAAAUUUUAAAUUUAUGUAAAUAUAUUUUUUAAAAUUUAUAUUUAUAUUUUAUUCUAAUGAAAUACCGUUUUUCAAUAAAUAUUUCUAAUAUAACAAUUUUUAUAACACCAUUAAUAAAAAUAUAUAUUUAUCUUAAUAAAAAAUAUUUUUUGUAAAUAUUUUAUUUUGUAUAUCUAUUCAUUAAAAAUAUUUUAAUCAUUCUAAUUUGAAAUCGUAAAUUUUUUAAUAAAAUUAGAUGGUAUACAUAUAUAUAAAAAAAUAAAAAAAUAGAAUAGUAAAAUAUAUAUUGUAUUGGGUAUAUAUAUGUAAAUAUGAAUUUUAGAAGGCUGGACAUGCUAAAUUUAAUAUUUAGGAAGAAAUUUAUGUUAAAAAAUUUUAUGCAAAAAUUGUACGGUCAUAACAUCAUUAUCAUUAUUAUUAUAACAACAAAUCUCCUCAUUUUAUUUGCCAACAGCCAUGAUCGCCUUCAUUAUAUCCUAAUCGAUUCCCAACGUUAAUGAGUGAUGACGCCUGCCUCCUCCUCCCUCGUUUUCUAAUACAUACAUUAACGAGAUUAUAUUGUAAUCUAGUCCUUCAUCAAAUUUAAUCACAUAAAAAAUUGCAGAUAUCUCCUAUUUUUAAGUCUUAAUCCCCACUUUUCUUUUUUUAAUCUUUUAAAAAUGAAAAUUUACACUGAUUUCCCUAUCCGACCUUCCCUUCCCUUCUCUUCGCUUCGCUUCGCUUCUCUCUCUGUUUGCGGCCUUUCCUCCCUCCAAUUCCUGUCUCUUUAAUCCAUUAAUCAUUAUCUAUAGGAUACGUACAUUUAUUUUAAAUUAAUUAAUUUUUAUGGAUUACCCCAAUUGCUCUUCCUCCUCUCUCCUUCUCCUCCUCCUCCACUCGGAUCCAUGGCCUCUCCAUCCUUUCUGAGAUCUUCCCCCAAUUAGGGUUUCGUUCGCCGGCGAUCCCUCUUCCUGGAUUGCCCCCUAGACCUAGGGUUAGGGUUUUGGAUUGGGAGGGGGAGAGAGAGAGAGCAAGGAGCGAGAUGUUGAACAAGAUCAUAAAGCGGGGGAACCGCAAGGUGCCCAAAUCGGACGCGAAUGAGCCCUAUGGCGCCACCGCUGCAGGGUAUCGCGGCGGCGCCGGAGGUGCCCCGGUGGUCUCCGCCUCCAACGUGACCGUCAACCACGCGUCCCGCACCACCCUGUCCUCCUCCGUCCCGGGCGGGGGCGCUAACUCCCAACAUCAGGCCUCCUCCGGCGGUGCCGCUGCCCCCCAGAUCGAGGCCCUUCCCCUAUUCCGCGACGUCCCGGUCCUCGAGCGCCAGGCCCUCUUCCUCCGCAAGCUCCAGAUCUGCGCCGUGGUCUUCGACUUCUCUGACACGCUCAAAUCCGCCCGCGAGAAGGAGGCCAAGCGGCAGACGCUCCUCGAGCUCGUCGACUUCAUCCAGUCCGGCUCCGGCCGCAUCACCGAGCCCGUCCAAGAGGAGCUCGUCCGCACCAUUGGCGUCAACAUCUUCCGCUGCCUCCCGCCGGCGUCCCACGAGAACACCGGCUCCGAGAUCGCCGACCCGGAGGAGGAGGACCCCUACCUCGACCCCGCCUGGCCCCAUCUCCAGCUCGUCUACGAGCUCCUCCUCCGCUACGUCGUCUCCCCCGACAUCGACGCUAAGGUCGCCAAGCGCUACAUCGACCACUCCUUCGUCCUCCGCCUCCUCGACCUCUUCGACUCCGAGGACCCCCGCGAGCGCGAGUACCUCAAGACCAUCCUCCACCGCAUCUACGGCAAGUUCAUGGUCCACCGCCCCUUCAUCCGCAAGGCCAUCAACAACAUCUUCUACCGCUUCAUCUUCGAGACCGAGCACCACAGCGGGAUCGGCGAGCUGCUCGAGAUUCUCGGCAGCAUCAUCAAUGGAUUCGCCCUGCCGAUGAAGGAGGAGCACAAGCUUUUCCUCGUCCGGGCUCUCAUUCCGCUCCACAAGCCGAAGUCGAUGGGCGUGUACCACCAGCAGCUCUCCUACUGCAUCACCCAGUUUGUGGAGAAGGACUACAAGCUCGCGGACACGGUCAUCAGGGGGUUGUUGAAGUACUGGCCAGUCACCAACUGCCAAAAGGAGGUGCUUUUCCUCAGCGAAUUGGAGGAGGUUCUGGAGGCGACGCAGCCUGCAGAGUUCCAGCGAUGCAUGGUUCCUCUGUUCAAGCAAAUCGCCCGCUGCCUCAAUAGCUCUCACUUCCAGGUUGGGACCCAAUCUGUUACCUGAGGUUUAUUUUUUAAAGUAAAUUUUACCAUACAUAAAUUGGUUGCUUCUGCCUGGUUUUAAAUCAAUGAUAUAUUUUUCAUGUCAUAUAGAAAAAAAGAGUAUUUGGAUACAUUUAUGGCUUUUUAAAGGAACAAAAAGCAAAAACUGAUUUCUAGUGUUGCGCUAAGCUUUUGAUCAUACUGUUGUUCUUUAAACAUGGAAGAUAUUUUUUUUCGCAUCUGUUUAUUUGACACAAAUGAAGACAUUGUGAUUUGAUAUGAAGAGUUGAGCAGAUUCUAUAACGUCCUCAUCAGCUGUUCUGAUAUGUUGUUGUGCAAUAAAAAGCUGUAUAUCCUUGUAUUGUGUAAUCUUGUAUUCAGUGUAGUCAUAUGAUUUCACCCUGAUUGAAAUUGCAUAAAGAUCUGCAUAAUGUAUGGUUUCCAACAUCUGCUUGUGUACAUGCUUAAUUAAGGAAAUAAAAUUUCAUAAUGUGGAGUCCAACAACUUCUUAUGGGCUUGAUGAGAGUGAGUUGGAUUCACCUCCUAGACAUAGAUUGAUAAUGUAAUCUGUUUGCAGAAUGAUUAGUUGUCCAUUGGUUAGGGCAAUAUGUGUUGAUGCUUUAGAGGCUAGAUGCUCGGUUGUCGGGUAGCUACCUUAGCUUAAGCAGGCCCCUGGCUACUCCAUCAAGUUCUCAUCGACCUAAACAGCCAUUGUGUGCUACUUGAUCACUCAAUUAUCAUCCAGCUGUGUUGCUUAGACCUAGGUGCCCCUAGUGGGUUGAAUUCGCACUAUCUUUCUGGUUGAUCUGGUAUUGGACAUGGUGAGAUAUUUGGUGGCUUGGCGAGGUAGGUUAUAACCUGUAUCUUUAUCACUUGUGCCCUUGCACUUGUUAUGACUAAAAACUUUCGAGAAUUCUUGAUUUAGUUAUUUAUCUUCAACAUCGUAUCACUCAUUCAUAGCUUAGCAGAUUUUUUUGUUGUUGCAUGGACUUAAUUUAUUGGCCAUGUUUCAUGGAUGACUGGUUAAUGUUUGAUCAAUUAAUGCUAUCAUAUAAUUUGUAGAAAAUUUGUCAUCUUGUUAGUUGACAUGUCGAUGUACGCCAAGAUAACUCAAUUAAAUAUUGUCAUUCUUAGUUAAUUUUUUAUUCUUUAUUUUAUAAGUUGGUCUAAAAUUUGUGAUUUUUUAUUAUUGUUAAUAAAAGAAUACAUUGCAAUAAUGCACCAACCUUUCACCUUAACAUUUUGCUCCCCCUUGGUUAUUUACAAAAUGCACCAAUAGUAGUUGUUAAAGUAGCCAUGUAGUUUAUUUUGAUACAAAACAAUAGUUUUGUUGACUUUGCCUAUUCGAAUGAUCUAAUGGCAUCUCCAAUGUUUGAAUUCCAAUUCAACCAGUUAAAUAUCCAAGCUAGCCAUUACUGUCAAAUAUUUUGUGUUACUUGAAUAUUUUAGUUUUAAGGACUUCUGAAGCGCCAAUGCUUUUUGACACUUGGAUACAACACAAUAAGAAGAACAUUCCAAACACUCCAAACAUCGAAUGUCCUGCAUACCUCAACUAAAAGUGUCGGCACUUCAUUUGUUUUCCUUUUUUUUUUUUUUUGUAGUGCCUUGCCAAAGAAGAGAAGAGCUCAAUAGAGCAGGGAGAAAAAAUUAUUCAAUACUUAUCACCAAAAGCUAAACUCUCCUCUCCUCCUUAUAUAGGAAAGGACACGACAUGACAAUGCUAAAUAUGACUCCUUCAUUGACUAGGAUGUUUUUAGACCUUUACCUGCACUUUCCCGACAAGAAGAGCAGUCAAUGAUGCCCCUAAAGUAGAAACAUUUGUAAUAUCAUACAAUUUGACUCAUUCGUGUGCAUUUUAAAACAAGUACUACUUAAGGGGCAGGAGUGCUUCCACUGAAAACUAGAAUGGAUACAAUUUGAUUUGGUUUGGAUGAGUGCAACAACUGGCUACAAACAUCAAUUUCCCAAACACAGGUGAAGGGUUUGAACCAUGGAGGAGAGGGUCAGAAGAAUCUGAUGGAGGUAUUUAAAAUCACAGAGGUAGCCUUUCCUUUUAUUAGAACUUGGCCUUGGAUAAUCUGUGUGAAAUACAGAUGCAGUCAUUCCUUACUUCACAUUGCUAUUAAAACACUAUAUAUUAUGGACUCCUGAGACUUUCAACUGGGCAAGAUGGUGAUAAGUUGAUUAUUUGUAUUAUGCAUGCAUGAGACUGAGUAACAUUGUAAAUGAACCAUUGUCUAAUAACCAAUUUUUGUUAUGAAGCUAAAGAUGACUUAGCAAUCAAGAAUGGAGUUGUAUUUAUAUUAGUUUUAUAUGUGACUCACAAAUUCAGUUUUAUAACUUUUAAAAUAGAUUUUGGUUUGUGCAUGGAAUAAUAUUCAGUAACAUGUCCAGUUAACCUUUUUUCUUAUACUAAUUCUUGAAUAAGCAGCCCAAACUUGAAUGAAAUAUUGGCCACCUGANNNNNNNNNNNNNNNNNNNNNNNNNNNNNNNNNNNNNNNNNNNNNNNNNNNNNNNNNNNNNNNNNNNNNNNNNNNNNGAAGUUUCCCAUGGCCUUGGUGUAAAAUGAAAAAUAAUUGGAAAAUUGGACAUAGCAGGCGUUUGAAACAUAAACAUUUUCCAUACUUUGUGUGUGGCCAUUGUUUGCACUUCUACAUGCCUUUUGCCGCAUCCCUAAUUAAUGGUCGUGUCACCAUGUUGAAGUGGUUCUUUUAAACUGGGAGAGUGUGUAUAUUUUGCACACUUGCUGUUGCGCACUUAGUUCUGCAAUUGUCUAUUUACGCUCUUGCUUUUUGAUAAGCUUCUGUUUUUAUACCCUGGUUUGGAUAGGGCAUUAGAUAGAUCUUUUGCUGCUCCUCUUUUUUGCUAAUUUUACAUUUCUGAAAUAUCUUCUUCCUUGUACUGUAACAUGAAUACCUUCCUGCUAUUCAUAUAUGUUUCCUAUAGUACCGAGUUUUAUAUAAUUUGCCAUUUGUUUGGCAGAUUUUUCCUAUGCAAAUGCUUCAAUUAUAGAAGUUAACAAUGAGCCACAUAAUGAUAGCAGUACGAAUAUUGUGCAGAACAUUUUCAGCAUCUGUAACAAACUAAUUGGAUCUUCCAAGAUGAAUGCUGGUUCUUUGUUGUGUCUUUUGUACAUUUUUUGCAUGUGUUAAAGGUAAAGAUGAAUGGCAGGUUGCUGAACGGGCCCUGUUCCUCUGGAACAAUGAUCACAUUGUGAGCUUGAUUGCCCAAAACCGUAGCAUCAUCUUUCCCAUCAUAUUUGAAGCUCUGGAGAAGAACAUGCAGGGCCAUUGGAAUCAGGCAGUUCAUGGCUUGACUGCAAAUGUCCGUAAGAUGUUCCUGGAGAUGGACAGCGAACUGUUUGAAGAGUGCCAACGACAGUACACAGAGAAAGUGGAAAAGGCCAAAACCUUGGAAGAGCAAAGAGAGCUAGCAUGGAGAAGACUGGAAGCUGUUGUUGCAGCCAAUCUGCAGGAGAAGAGGUGGUCUUAGUCAAUUAGGCAAAUUUGUGCCCUUCUACGUUUUUUUUUAAUCAUCUGUUUACUCUUGGUAUUGUAAUCUAUAAUGUAUCAUUUGUGGAUAUGCCACAGAUUUUGAACGGGUUCCAAGAUUUUUUUCUUUUUUUUGGGGGGGGGGGGGGGGGGGGGCAUUUCAAAGAGAUGCGUAUCAUUUUCAAAGCUCUUUCAUCCUGUUUUUAUUCGUUUGCUUCAUCCAUGACAAUCCAUAAACAGGCACUGUCUCUGAGUUCAUUGUAUUGCAUUAUGAUAAGGUUGAAUCCCUGCUCAUGUCACGGGGGACAGGCAGGCAGUUUUUAACCCAUGCUCGUGGGGAGAAACCACGGAUUCCUCAAGAGGUUUGAUAUAAAAGCAAUUAGAACCAGGAAACCAAACUUGGAUAUAUGACUCUGCCCACGCUUGGAUGUCACCCAAAUCAAACUUCUGCCAAGUAUAGAUUGGGCUGGAACCAUGAAACAAAUUCAGAGUUUUGCGAGGGCCUAUGACAUGGCACCAUCUCUGAGCUGCCAUUAGCCAAGUCCACCACCUCCAUAUGGUGAACCCCAGGUUCCGUAGGUUCAUCGACCACAAAAAUAGGCCCACUGUAGUAAAUAGAGUUACCCUUGCACCUGGAAAGCCUACUGCCAGCAACAUUCGAGUUGAAAUAGAGCGACAAAAACAAGGUCUCGUCACCGAUGCUUUCCACCCUCGACCAUACCGGCUCUACUCCUGGAUUAAACUUAUAUAUCUCGGAGUCCCUCUCGAGAUAGAGAUUCUCUUCAUCCACACGGUGGAUUGCAAGGCCAACCAGCAGGAGAUCCCCUUUCGACUCCACAAGCUUGCAGUUAAAAAGGCAGGGUGGCGUCUGGAGCGAUGCAAUUGGGAUCAUCCCUGCGGAAUAGUCCACUUCGAGAACAGCAAUUUUGCCGACGUAGUCCAUGGCAAACAAGCGUCCGUUGUGGAAUGCGAUGGACUUGAUGUCGCAGGACAGGGUGGUCUCGAGCAAAGUCCACCGCUGGUCUCCUCUCCUGCAGAAGGCUACUUGGGUGGACAGCGCAAGGGCCGCCACGGCGAUAAAACCAUCUCCCGAAUUCGGAGCUGACGAAAGAAUGACUUGUUUGAUGAAAACUUGGUGCAUAUCAGUCAGCGUGAGGAGGGUGACGGUGCCAUCCUCCGACCGAGAGAACCAGCGAUUGCCGACCUUUGAGACGUGCUUGAGCGAGGACAAGGCGAGCUGCUCGUCGGCAGGUGGAAGCUGGACUCGCGCACGAGUAAAUGGAUUCAGGAGAGAAAUGGAAGCGAGCUCGUCCAUGAGGACCAACCACCCGUGGGACGAGCCACAGAAGACGGUGGAGCUGGCCUCUGGAAAGGGCUUGAAGUAGACCCUGUCAUCCGAGGGGCUGUAGAAAGAGAAACCGCCUGCCUCGGAGUCGAAGGGGAACAGAAGAAACGGAGCAAACUUGACGUGGGGUGCGGCGGAGCGCCAGCCGGAGCAGGUGGAGCGGAAAUUGAUGUAAUCAAAGCUGCAUGGAAGGAGAUUCUGAGAAAUGCGGUGGAGGAGGUCUGGAAUGAGCGAGGCCCAGUCAGGAGUAGCCAUGGAUGGACUGAAAGCAGGGAAGAAGAAGAAGAAGAAGAAGGAUGGUGAGGAGAGAUUUGGAUGGAUGAGGGAUUUGAAGAGAGAAAGCAUUGCUGAAAUGGAAAGUGGAGUAAAGAGGCUCCAGCAGCGGGCAGCGAAGGAUCAGGCGGUGCACUUCACCUUGGCCUUAUUGUGAGAUUUGAGUGCAUGAAUGCUAAGAUAGUGUUCGUAUGGUUGGAUAGGGGGUGAGAAUCUAAUCAGAGAGUGGUGCCAAAAAUGGGCAAAAUUUAUUGUGGGUUUAAUAAGAAGGGAAAAGAGGAGGAAAGCCGCUCAACGGUGGUUUUAUGAAGUUUGCCGGGUUUGGCCAAGCGUUCCAUCCCGUUGGCCGCCUCCUUUUAAACGGAGGGGAAAGUUGGCGAGAACGGUGGCGAGAAACUUUCUGAACCGGGCACGUGGAAUGUGCGUGAGACUUAUAGCUAGGAAAGGAUUUGAGGGAUGGUUGUAAUCCCAUCAAUAAUGUUCUGUUAUCCAAUGUUUACCCAAAAGUAAACAAAAGUUAGAGCCUCCAAUGCCACUCAUUCAUCGGAAGGCGAAUAAGAUUAUAGAAUGAGUUGCAUAGCGGAGAAGUUUAAUAUGCUGAAUCAUGCCUUUUAAUAUUAGAAACCUUUGCACGCCAUUAAUAUUUUUAUGAGAUAUUUCUAUCUUCGAAAAGCAUAUCUUUCCAAACACAUCAAAAUUUUAUUUGUUGACAAUGGUCAAGUUCAAGCUGAUUGUAAUUUAUACAUAAUAGCGCCAAAGCUUCAUCUACAGCUAGCGAGGAUGAUACACCAUUUUAAGUAAAAGAAUUAAGAAAGGAAGAAAAAGAAUGCAUAUGGUAAAGAGAAAACUGCAUCUAAGGUCCAACAUUAGAAGCCCUCAAAGUUGUAUAAUUGUGAGUCCAUCUUGUGAGACAUGUACAUAUAGCACAGCAGUGUGAAACCUUAUUCAUGUCAAAGCUGCACCUUCUUGAAGACACACAUGCUCAUUUCCUUCUACAGUUUGUGCCAUGUAGCUUAUUGAAUGAUGAGAUAUGAAGGCAGGUUGUGAAUCAUACUGAUGGAGAGUUCCACAUGAUAAUCCAGUACUCCAAGAAUCUGACAACAAAUAUUAGACUCAUAAGACUUAAGCAACCACAUGUUGUACAUUAAGGCAGAUGGAGUCCGGCAAUUUGAAUUGACCCAUCUCAUAUGAGACACAGAUCAAGUCCUAAAAGAACCAGCAAAGUAAAAAAAAGAGAUUCUUUACUCUCUUUGAACAAAUUCUUGAUGACUCAACAACUAAAGAUGACAGACAAUUUAGAUUUGUAUACGAGAACUGCUACUGUUUUCUUAAGAUAUCUAGGGAAGAGGGAGUCAGAAUUACCACUAUUGAACAAUCAUUGAUAAACUAACUGUGACAUCUUCAAAUUCUUCUGAAGAAGCCAGCCAUGGCUGGAUGAAAUUAUCCUAAUUCAGAAGUGUAACUCCUUGAAUAAGCACAUAGGAACUAGUCUCCUCAACUUUUCCACAAGUUCUAUUUAAGUUCCAAUCUUUCCAGAUUUUCUAAUACUAAGGCAGCCGAGAUAAGUAAACUAGCUAUCAAUUAUCAUUAUAACUUUGCUCGAUCACCCUCAAAUUUCAUGAACAAGUUGGAGUCAAAUAGCAACAAGUUCUAGAAUCUUUUAUCUGACACUAUGUUGGAAAUUCAUAAGGAAACAAUUCUAAAUAGUCUUUCCUGAUGAUAGUUUGCAGAGGCCACCAAGAGUUCCUGUCUGCAAGUUCAGUCAAGAACUGAUGGUUUGGACAAAUCAAUAUAUAUUUUAAUUGACUGAAAUUUCUACUGCAUAAUCUCGACUAGAAAUAAUGCAAUUAAACUUCGAAUAUUCAAAUAAAACUUGGAGCUUUGUUAGGAUUAACUUCAAGGAAAAGCUUGAGUCAAACAUCUUGUAAUUAAAUACAUACUAAUAUAUUUUUUUAUAAAAAAAAGGAAAAGGAAAAGUAUGUGAAGGAACUAUAGCCACAGGUACCUGAAGCAAGAAAAUAUGUUACCAUUUCUUAAUGUGUAUUUUAAGUGAACUCACAUGGCGAAUCCUACUUCUAUCACUCAAGAUUAAAAUACACAAAUUGGAAGCUUUCUGCAAUAUCAAGCAUCCACAAUUAAAUCUAAAACCAAUUCCACAAAUAUAUACGUCACUGGAGGAAUAUAUGUAAUAAGCCCAGUGGAGACUGGCCGGAUCAGUUAUUUGGGCUUAGGUUGGAUUAGUUGGCCUCACUGGGGUUACAGUGAUCCAUUCGAAGGGAGCCGGCCAACGUGGGCUAGGAUGUAGGAACCCGGCCCAAAGCCCAUCCCAUGAUCAAAAGCUCCAAGCCUGUCCCAUGGCCCAUGCAUAUGGAUAUUAACCAUUAUUUCGCAACAAAGAACUUUUCCUCUCACCUUUGAGCAUGAAUGAUGCCAAACCAAGUAUUUCUUUUGUGAAUAAAUUAAAAAAAACAACUCUGAUUUAUAUUACCAACCAUAACAAAGCAAGAAACCUUAGUGAUUGGUAACCUAUUUUUGUUAUUUUGUAUUCUUUCUUUUGUUUAAUGCAAACAUGGCAGCCCAUCGACCUUUUUAAUUAAGAGAAUGAACAAUCUUAUUUUUUUUAAGAUCCUCCAAAAAUUCUACAUCCAUUUCAGAUCCAAAUAACUUAAACUUUUUCCAAAAAAACAAAAUAAUGAUAACAAGAUAUCAUUCUUGAGGUUUUUAUUAAAUGAAAAGACAAGUUCAUGAUGGAACUAUUGUUUCGCUUCGUAGCUACCCUUCUUAGCACGGUUGUGCCCUCCUGUGCACCUAUUUAAUUUUGGGUGAAGAUGGGGAGUUCAUCGUAAUUUUACUUUUUAGGACUUAAAUGAAUUAAGAUGGAUGCCAACCAUGUAAGCUAAGGUUAGUUUGCUUCUUUUUUUUUUGCUGAAACGAAAGUAUCAUACAUAACGUGUACGGAUACAGCCAAGAAAGUGAAAAAUUAAUACAUCACAGAGAGCACUAAACACCUCCGCCUCUCCCACCUAUAGGUGAUCUCCUGAAUGGUUGGCGACGAAGGAAGCCACCCAGUCCGCAGCCUCAUUCGCCUCUCUGAACACAUACUUCACUUGGAUAACCAUCCUAUCACACAACAUGGUCCGAAUGUCUCUCAGCAGUGGGUGGUAAUCGCCGACCCAACUUGACGCCUGUAGAAUCCAUCCAAUGACCGUCGCCGAGUCACCCUCCAGAAGAAUAUCUCUGGCCUGCAAUGCACGUCACACAUAACUUAGUCCGAACCAGGUUGCUCCCAGCUCCGCCCCUAGCAUGGAGGUGUCAAACAGUUGGCAUUCUGGCAACCCCCAGCAUCGUGACUCUAGUCUCGCAUGAUGUCCCCUAAACCCUGAUAUUGGGGCAGGAGUGCUCUAGAACCAGGAGCAAUCAGAUCCUCUUAACAAGUGGCUCACCGAACAACUGGUCAAUCCGGCGAGUAUCCCACCCCCCUCCUAUAGGGAGAAGAAGGUCACACAUCCGGACUCCCUCCACUGUCUCCACACUGACAAGGGUCAGCCAACGCCUCAUCGAGAGCUCAUCCACCCAUGCAUCCUCCAGAAGGUCCACUCUCUGGCCAUCACCAAUCAGCCACCUGCAUCUAGCAAGGAUCAUGGGCAUGUACCUACAGAUCUCACGCCAAUUCGGUGAAGCCCUCCGACCUUCGGAUGGAGUGCCACUACUCCCUGCAUAGCUAUAUCGGGCGACCAUCGUCUAACUCCAAAAACACUGUGGUUUCAAUAUAAAUAUGGUUGCGUGCCGGGCAAUCAGCGCCUUCCCUCUAGUCAGAAGAGACUAGACACCCAACCUCCUUGCCCUCGUCGACUGGCAUACCGAUGCUCAAUCCACUAGAUGCACCCCCCCGACCACCGCCAUGGGUCCCCCAGAUGAAAUCUCGGGCAAGCCUCUCAAUUCUCAUCAACACUGUCUUUGGGACAACGGUGUUUGCAUUCAUCAUGACAUGCUGUUAGGGAAAAAGGAACACACGGUAUUGACUUAUAUAGGUCCCUAAUUUAUUGAGGUCCUUAUCCAUCCAACAUUCCACUUGGCUGUAAGGCUUAAAUAUAAUUGAUUAAGCUCGAACACAUGUUAAGGAAUUCAGAUUUUACUAGAAGGAACAAUAGAGAACCAUACAUCCAAAUGGUUUAUUUGGGCCACAUUUUAUAAAGUAAUCAUAAAAUCUUUGCUGUUAUAACACCUUUUUUUUUUCGGGAACAAUAAGCCAUAUUAGUCACCAGAACUUUUACUAAGGAAGAAGAUAAGUUUUAUGUACAUCCCGAAUGACCGAAGACGGAAUAUACAAGAGAAAGAAGAAAGGAAGAGGACCCAGCGAAAAUUACAAAUCUGUUGUCAAGAAAAAGAUAAAAACAGUAGCACGCAAAGAAGUAAAAGGAGAAAAGAACAAAGGAGACUCAAGUAAGCCUGACAAAGUGGCUCAAUUAGCACAAAAGAUCAUGGAAUCAUCUUGUGAUUCCAUCAUAGUCUCCUUCCAUAAGAACCGCACCAAAAGAAUAUAUAGCAGAGUGGCAGGGUUUCAUCUCAUUCAGAGAGUCACACAAAGCCAAAACCAACAACAACAGAAAGAAGGCAUCAUCCUUGCUCAUCUGAAGAGGAAACAACCGCUCUUCAAAGCUUCCUAAUACGAUCCCACAACUUGCCAAAACUGAGAAGGAACUUAUGAUCAAGGGCACAUGUCAUAACAUUUCCUAAUUUAUUUUUAUAGAAGAAAAUCCAUAAUGAUCAGUAUUUAAAAAAUUCAGUGUAGGUUUAACAUUGUCAUCUCUCCCAUCUCCCACUGGUUGUAAAAGUAAAGGAACAAAUAAGUCCUUUGCCUGCUAGCUGCAUUGGCUUAAAGUCCCAAAUGCCAUCGAAGUAUCUAACUACAUUUUCUUCUCUCUUUCCUCCCCACUUUUUCACUUUACAGUGAAUCACACUGCAUGUAAAAACAAAGUUUGUAUGCAUCCAAAUGAUUUUUCUUUCUGAUUGGUAAUACUAAUUCUCAGAAAGGUGUCAAUGGAAAUGGCCAAAAGCAAAAGCUGAGGCACCAAAAAGCACAGAACUGCCAGCCAAUCUCUUGUGCAUCCACCUUAUCCCUCAAGAUAUCUAAAUCCUAAUAUGAUAAUAAAAAGAGGCUGUUGUUUUAUGGCUUCAUUAUAUAGCACUAGGAACGGGAGGAGUUAAAAGUGUGAGUCUUCACCCCAUAACCGAUUGGGGCACGAAGAUAGAGUUAAGUUUGUAAUUGGUUGCUUUGAAAUAAUAUGAGAGAGGUAUAUGGGUAUCACUCCAGCAAAGCGGAUUGGAAGUAGUCUUUUAGACUCUUGAAAGACAUAAUACAAGCUUGCAUGCAAUCAUGUGAAAUGCCAAAUUAAAAACAUAGCCUUGAGAGAUAUGAGGAGAGGAAGAAUGAUUAGCUAAUAUAGAUGGCACAGAAAGCUCGUGAAAGGCCUCAAGCUUGCAUGAGAAUCUGAAAAAGAGAAAGCGGAAACUAUCCCGAGGCCAUACUUUGAACACUUUUUAUAGGCAUAGGAGACGAGAGGUGAGGUGGCUGGUCUCGGAAGAGGAAAGGAGGGGAAGGCAGAGAGAGAUGGCUCCGGUGGGUCUGCCACCGGGCUUUAGGUUCCACCCGACCGAUGAGGAACUUGUGAACUACUACCUUAAAAGGAAGAUCCAUGGUCUUAAGAUCGAGCUCGAUAUAAUCCCGGAAGUAGACCUCUACAAAUGUGAACCAUGGGAAUUGGCAGGUCAGAGUAAUGAAAGGUUUAUCAAACAGUAUCAAUGAUCUUUGUUUCAACUGUUCUUAGCUGAAAGAGAAACUCUAAAUUUUCUACAUCUUAAGACCUUUCUCCUAUUUCUCUUUCUUUCUUUUGGUUAAAUGUGACUUUGAGCCUGAUCAAUUCUGGCAGAUAAAUCAUUCUUGCCAAGUGGGGAUCCCGAGUGGUAUUUUCUUGGACCUCGGGAUCGAAAGUAUCCUAAUGGGUUCCGCACGAACCGUGCAACCCGAGCAGGAUACUGGAAGUCCACAGGGAAAGACCGUCGAGUCGUUCGUCAGAAUCGUGCGAUUGGUAUGAAGAAGACACUGGUCUAUUAUAGAGGCCGAGCUCCACAAGGGAUCAGGACAGAUUGGGUGAUGCACGAGUAUCGUCUCGACGACAAGGAGUGUGAGGAUACAAUGGGAAUUCAGGUGGUAUAUAUCAUCAUCGCCUUCCAAGUUAUUGCACUAUUAGAAGAUGAUGUUUUUUCCAGCAAAAUUAGAGAACACAGUGCAGAUGAAGACAAGAUCCCACUUAGGAUUAGCCUAUGAAGACCUUCCCCCCUUGGAUAUAUUAGGUUUACUGCAAAACCCUCUCAUGACACAGCUUGGAGCAAAUGAUAUAGGACACCUACAAAUCUAUGCCUAUCUUGUACUAUAUUGCUCUCGACUAGUUAGUUUAUUGCUCUUAAGCUUCUAGGGUAAUGGCAAAGGGUACAUCACACGUGGGUUAUGCAUGGAGUGCAUGGAAAGUUACGGUCCGACUCUCCUUAGAUCUUCCAUCGUUUUCUAUCCAUUAAAAAAUGCAUUAAAAUAUUCCUUUCUUCCACUGGUCCUGGGCCUCUUUCCUAGAUAUGUGUUGUUCCAGUAUUCUAAUAAGACAAAUGUAUAAUUCCACCAAAAGAAGACAAGUGUCUCAUUCAAUCAUUACAAAUGCUUUGUUAUUAGACCCAUUUUAUUACAAGACCAGGCAUAAUCUAUACAGAGGUUCCCCUUUUUGGUCAUAUAAACGUAUAGAGCCAUGUUGAUGCUGCAUUAAAGCAAAGAUAUCCUUUCAUGGAGCGGAAUGGUGUCGGUGGCUCUUUGCUUUAUUUCCAAAAUGAUCAUAGCCUGCAAGAUUCUCCCUUACAGACUCCAUCAAAUAAUCACUCUAACCCCCCAUUAAUUUCGGUGUAGGUUCGAGAAAUACAAAAUUUGGAUGGUUUCAUGUACUGUACACUAACUUUGUAUCAACUUUAGGGAAGUUUCUAAUCUCUAUUCCAUUGAAAGAUUAGUCGUCGUGCUUCCUAAUAUCCAAGAAUCAUGACUAAAAUUAUCAUCUGAAAUAAGGCCUAUUUCUUUCCAUGAGGCAAUUAAGAUGGUGGUGCUUUUAUUGUUAAAGAGUCCUAGUUUUUUAUGAUGUCAACCCCAGAUAUUGAACAUAAAGUUCAACCGAAGCCAUAAGCCUUUGAUGCUUCAGCUACCUACCUAUAUUGAGAGACCACAAUUUCUAGCCAUCCAAUCUUGAUUCGUUUGCCACGGCUGAAACUCCUAUCAGUUCUCCAAAAGGACCUGUCUGGAAUUGCAAAUAUCCAUAACAUGCAACGCAACAUUAGUUGAUGUAAACAAUACCACAUUAGUUACAGUCAUGUUACUUUGUACAUAGGCAUCGAUGUGCACUAAUUGUCAUCAGUGUUGAUAUAUUUUUCUUUUUUCCUUUCUCAGGGCUCAUAUGCACUGUGUCGAGCGAGUUUUCAAGAGAAAUGUGGUGUGUGCAGAAAUAGAAUUGCAAGGACAGUAUAGCUUGAUGUUUAUGGAGGGAACCAAGGAAUGAUCACCAGCGAAUCGGAGACUAUGUCACCAGACAUGCCCGUGGUAUCAUCAUCAUGCUUAGACGAGGAUGACAAAGAUGAUGCAUGGAUGCAAUUUAUCUCUGAUGAUGCAUGGAUCUCUAAUGUAUCAAGCAAUGAGGUUAUCAAGGAUCCCUCAUGCAUGGAUUUUGCUAAUUGAGAGGUUUUUGUUCUUCUGUUANNNNNNNNNNNNNNNNNNNNNNNNNNNNNNNNNNNNNNNNNNNNNNNNNNNNNNNNNNNNNNNNNNNNNNNNNNNNNNNNNNNNNNNNNNNNNNNNNNNNNNNNNNNNNNNNNNNNNNNNNNNNNNNNNNNNNNNNNNNNNNNNNNNNNNNNNNNNNNNNNNNNNNNNNNNNNNNNNNNNNNNNNNNNNNNNNNNNNNNNNNNNNNNNNNNNNNNNNNNNNNNNNNNNNNNNNNNNNNNNNNNNNNNNNNNNNNNNNNNNNNNNNNNNNNNNNNNNNNNNNNNNNNNNNNNNNNNNNNNNNNNNNNNNNNNNNNNNNNNNNNNNNNNNNNNNNNNNNNNNNNNNNNNNNNNNNNNNNNNNNNNNNNNNNNNNNNNNNNNNNNNNNNNNNNNNNNNNNNNNNNNNNNNNNNNNNNNNNNNNNNNNNNNNNNNNNNNNNNNNNNNNNNNNNNNNNNNNNNNNNNNNNNNNNNNNNNNNNNNNNNNNNNNNNNNNNNNNNNNNNNNNNNNNNNNNNNNNNNNNNNNNNNNNNNNNNNNNNNNNNNNNNNNNNNNNNNNNNNNNNNNNNNNNNNNNNNNNNNNNNNNNNNNNNNNNNNNNNNNNNNNNNNNNNNNNNNNNNNNNNNNNNNNNNNNNNNNNNNNNNNNNNNNNNNNNNNNNNNNNNNNNNNNNNNNNNNNNNNNNNNNNNNNNNNNNNNNNNNNNNNNNNNNNNNNNNNNNNNNNNNNNNNNNNNNNNNNNNNNNNNNNNNNNNNNNNNNNNNNNNNNNNNNNNNNNNNNNNNNNNNNNNNNNNNNNNNNNNNNNNNNNNNNNNNNNNNNNNNNNNNNNNNNNNNNNNNNNNNNNNNNNNNNNNNNNNNNNNNNNNNNNNNNNNNNNNNNNNNNNNNNNNNNNNNNNNNNNNNNNNNNNNNNNNNNNNNNNNNNNNNNNNNNNNNNNNNNNNNNNNNNNNNNNNNNNNNNNNNNNNNNNNNNNNNNNNNNNNNNNNNNNNNNNNNNNNNNNNNNNNNNNNNNNNNNNNNNNNNNNNNNNNNNNNNNNNNNNNNNNNNNNNNNNNNNNNNUAAUAUUGAAUUGAGUUGAUAAUAAUUUAAUAAAAAAUCAUUAGAUUUGAUAUAAGUGAAGAAGGUUUGCUAGAAAGGUGGAGAGCAUAGCAGGAAACAGAAGUUCUGAAAGUCAUCUAAAUGCACUUUGCAUUUAAACAUUUCAAUAUUAAAUUGAUGUCUUGCAGCUUCUAUGUUGGUAGCAUCAAGUUUCAUCACAAGCUAAUUAAGCUAAAAAUUCUCAUAAAUGGAUUCAAGAUUUUAGAUAAGGUGAAAGAAAAAAGCAUCGAGAUGUUGAAGUCUUAGAAAUGGAUUCAAGAUUCUGAAGAAGGAAAGCGACCCAUGAAAUAUAAAUAAAAUAAGCAUAUAGAUAGAGAUCAAUUAUAUGAUUGUGAUGAUUAGUUAGAAUUAACAUAACAGAAAUUUGACAAUACUUGCUUUAUCAUCAUAAUUAAUGGCACUUGAUCAUUAAUUCCUUUUAACACAGUUUUAGCUUUUUAAGUCAAAAGAAGCGCUUUGGUCUGCCAAUGACACAAGCCUGACAAACACCCCAUAUGCAAUAGUGGCCUUUUCUUUUCUUCUCCUUUCCUUUUUCAUUUUAUAAUGCAAAUCCCAAGACACGUAAAGACCAGGCUUAGUUUCGUUUAGAUGAUUUUUCUUCUUAUUCGAUAAUAAUUUUUACACAAAAAAGCCACGGAUAGAAUAGAAAUGGCCUUAAAUAAAAAAAUUCAAAAGAAAAGAUGAGACAGCAAAUCCUUUGGUUUUCCCCUUCACCCUCACGACUUCUAAAGUCGACAAAACAUCAUGACCCAAAACGAUAAAAAGUUCCUGUUAUCGAACAGAUGACAGCAGGCGUCCAAAGUGAGCUAUAAUGCAAGCCUCUGCUCAAUGAUCAAAUGUAAGAUCCAGUUAUGACUCAAGGAUUCCGCACCUUAAACACUGAAAAUUGUGUGUGAGACUCAUGCACUAUGUAGUACAAAUUGCUGGUUUACAACCAUGUUCGUUGUCAGGUUACCAAUAAAAUAGUGGGAAGGUUUCCUUCCUUCAAAACACAACCAUGUGCAAUGUCAAACCAAAAGUGGUCAGAUAGAGCUGAGGAGGAAAAAGGUUGGUGUGAUGAUAGAUAGUAUACAGUUUGUAGAGAGACUCAAGCUUGUAGAGAAUCCGAAAAAGAGAGUGAAAACUACUUGGAGGGCAGACUUUGAAUCCUUUUAUAAGGGGACUAAAGGCAAAGGAGAAGGUGGUUGAGGUGGUCUUUGGAGUGGAAAGAAAGGAGAACAAAGAGGAGAGGGAGGCAGAUGGCUCCGGUCGGUCUGCCGCCUGGCUUUAGGUUCCACCCGACCGACGAGGAGCUGGUUAAUUACUACCUCAAGAGGAAGAUUCAUGGACUCAAGAUUGAGCUUGACAUAAUCCCAGAAGUGGAGCUGUACAAGUGCGAACCAUGGGAAUUAGCAGGUUUGAGAACAAAUAUUUUAUCAAACAAUAUCCAUGAUCUUUGUGUUGACUGUUUUAACAGUAAACUUUGUUCGUCUUAACACCAUCAUCUUAGUCUCUCCUUUCUUUUUUUCUUCAUUUUCUUAUUUUUUCGGUCUGGGAAUGUGAACUUGGGUUAUGUAAAUUUUGCAGAGAAAUCAUUCUUGCCUAGUAGGGAUCCGGAGUGGUAUUUUUUUGGGCCACGAGAUCGGAAGUAUCCAAAUGGGUUUCGCACCAAUCGCGCGACACGAGCAGGGUACUGGAAGUCGACAGGGAAAGACCGGAGAGUUUGCCAUCAGAAUCGAGCUAUCGGUAUGAAGAAGACAUUGGUAUACUAUAAGGGACGAGCUCCACAGGGUAUCAGGACAGACUGGGUGAUGCACGAGUACCGUCUUGAUGACAAGGAAUGUGAGGAUACCAUGGGAAUUCAGGUGGUACCUUCCUCAUCAUCUUAAACUAUCAUUAUUAUAACUACCGAAGGACACAAUGUAGACCAAGGCUUUUAUAUGAGGUUAAACUAUCAUGACCUCACUCUUGGGUUGCAUUUCUUCGAACAAUGUAUAGGUCUUCUGUGUCUAAUGGCCGCCCAGUGCUUGCUUGCUUUUCUUUUUCCUUCCAAGGAAUAAUUUAUUGAGAUCACUCUUAUCAAGAUUCUUUUGUCCAUCACCAUAGAUUUUAAAAUAUGAAAAUUUAAAUUGUUGAAUUUAAAGAGUUGUCCAUUAACUUUACGGAUGAUAAUGCCAUAAACUUUUUUGCUCCUGCUUUUCAUGGCAUUGGUGCUGCACCUGCUUGUUUCUCUGUUGCUUAUCUUUAGCAGGCAUCUAAAUUGGGUCUCUCUCUCUGUCUCUCUCUCUCUCUCUCUUCUCUCGCAGUCUCUCCCCCCAUGUUUGGACAUCACCUGAGCACUUGGCAUGACUUAAUUGGAAAACUUAAUCUUGACAGUGGUGUUUGGUGUCCGAGAAUGUCCCCUUUGUUUUCCAUUUUCCAGAUGAAAAGAUCAAAACUAUGUUAUUAUAUUCAGCCUAUAACUAAUUCCUAGAAAUGACCCAAUUAAAUACUUGGUACAGAUCUUAGGCCUUCUGCUAAAGCCUGUAUCUUUCUCAAAUGGUUUCAGUCUAAAGCUCUCAUAUGAUAAUAUAUACAUGGAGAAUCCCAAUCUAUUUCGCAUCUGCAUUGCCGUUAGAUAGGAGUUUUGUGUUUUUUAGAGCUUCAAGGAUAUUGGACAAGAAGAGAUCCUACGUGGGUUAUGCAUGGAGUGCAUGGAAAGUUAGGGUUCCCCUUCCUUCCCUUGCUUUUGAUCCAAUAUAAUAUUCCUUCCUUCGUCUGGUCCCUGGUCCUUGCCAGUAUUCCAAUGAGACAAAUGUUUAGGUUGCUUACAAUAUUCUAACGUAAGACAAAAAUAUCAUUCUCUACUCCAUGCUAAGACUCCAAUGUGGUUCAAUCUGUCAUUAUAUAUAUCUCUAGGUAUGCUCACUUUAUUUCUAAUCAGACAUAAUCCACAUAGGGGUGCAUGCUGAUGCUGCAUUAAAGCAAAGGUAUCCCUCAAGGUGCCCAUGCAAUGUUGUCGGUGGCUUUUCACUUUAUUCCCUAUAACUGCCCAGCAUCCACCCAGAUUCUCUCUUUUUUCACACUAACAAAUGGAACAUAAAACUUCUUCUUCCCAACCCCACAUUAAGGUAUCAACAAUAUCUAAUUCUUGUAUCCCAUGAAUCGUGAAUUCACUCCAUGGAUGUCCUUAAUAGGCACUAAUAUCGGCACUUCAUAAAUGACUGAUGUGUUCUCUAUAUGAAAGGAUCCACCUUUUUUACUUUUUCUUUCAAAUUAGAAGAGGUAAGCUAAUUGGUUUGGUAUAUCUCUCAUGAGUGAAUAAAUUGAAAUUAAUUAGUGAUAAUAAUAACUAAAAAAACACAUACUUAAGUGGUUGGUUAGGCCAAAAUAGGAGAAAAAACUAUGUUAACGUGGCUUACAACUGUAACCCUUCAAUGCAGCUCCCUACAAGAUUUACUAACAAUUUCCAUCCACUCUUUAUUGUCAUACCCAUGGUUAAAACUAUCACUGUUAUAGAUAACAAAUUAUCUUUUACGAGUAUCAUAUGCAUAUCACAUAGAACAUUAGUAUGCAUGUCUCAAUGGUUUUUUUGCCCUUCUUUUCUUUUCUUUCUUUCUUUUUCUUCUUUUUUUUCUUCUUCUCCUUUCUCAGGACUCAUAUGCAUUGUGUCGAGUGUUCAAGAAAAAUGUGGUUUGCACAGAAGUGGAAGAGCAGGGGCAAUGUAGCUUGGCAUUGGUGGAGGGAUCCCAAGGAGCACUUGCUGAGUGUGAGACUAUGUCACCUGAUGUGCCUGUGGGAUCAUCAUCCUGCAUAGAUGAGGAAGACAAGGAUGAUGCUUGGAUGCAGUUCAUUGCUGAUGAUGCAUGGUGCUUUAAUGUGUCAAGCAAUGAGGGUGGUCAAGACCCAUCAUGUGUGGCUAUUGCUAAUUUAUAGGCUCCUUUUGUCCCUUUGUUUUGGCAUGGUAUUAGUGGUAAUAACAUGCUUGGAGUAUAAUUUUCAAUGCAAUAAUGCAAGUAUUCAUAUUAAAUACAUUUCCUUAGGAGGAGCUUGCUUGGGUCUUCAAAACUUGGGGUUUGGCCAUGUCUGGGCCUAUGUGGUUGUAUUUUGUGGAAAUACGGUGUAACUAAUAUAAAAACUUCUUUUACUUUAGUCUUCUUUUUUUUAUCUAUUUCUUAUGAUUUACAAAAUAAGUUGAAAUCAUGUUUGCAUUUUGUUUUUCUUUUCUUUUUUUUACUAUAAAACAAAAUUUCUGCGAUUCUGAAAUGAUGUUGGCAAUUUCAAAAUUAGCCUCCUCCAGUUUUCUUAUAUAUGAUUUGAGAAAUCAAAAUAGAUGAAUUCACCAUUUCAUCACCGAGAAUAAUAGAAUAAAAAGCUUUUAUUUAUUGAUAUUUUAAUUGAAUUUUCCUUUUACAUUUGCCUCAAUCGUGUGUUCCAUCGGGUAAUACAUUUUAUCAUGAUUGUAUAUAUUUGUUUAGUAAUAUUGAUACCCUUCACAAAUAUAUAUAUAUAUAUAUAUAUAUAUAUAUAUACUACACACACACNNNNNNNNNNNNNNNNNNNNAUAUAUAUAUAUAUAUAUAUAUAUAUAUAUAUAUACACACACACAUGAACAGCUAAAUGGCUGACGAAAAUUCCCAAAUUUCCAACUCUCUUUUUGAUUGAGAAAAUUCCCAAACUCUUUAUUUUUGUGCACCAACAUAUUGUUCAUGGUACAGUAAUGCUCCUUUCAGUCACCUCUGUUAAUAUGAGGCCUUGUGUCGGUGUGUGUUUAGUCCCAUAUUGGUUAUUUACUGGAUAGAUCUUGGGUACUUAUAUAUGAUCAAUGAACCCAAAUAAUAUCUUCCGGGUAGUCAUUUUGGACGAGGUCCUAAAUUGUUACAAAUGGUAUCAGAGCAGAUUUGACCCAUAACCUAGGUAGACUAGGGGACACUGCAGCACAGAUCUAUUGAGGCUGACCACAGGCUGAUCAUGGUGUUUGUGAUUGAUUUGAAUGGAUUUGAGCCCUUAGCCUGACCAGCACGUCACGGAGGGAAUAUGUGAGGACAUGUGCAGGCAUGUGUUUAGUCCCACAUCGGUUAUUUGCUUGGUAGACCUUGGGUACUUAUACAGGAUCAAGAAACCCAAAUAAUAUCUUUCGGCUAGUCAUUUUGGGUGAGGUCCUGAGUUGUUACAAUUGAAUUAUAUACCGCACCUUGAACUCAUGAUCUCUUACGAAGAGUACGAAAUGAGGUACCAAAUGCUGAGUUAAUUAAAUUACUGAUAUUCCUACCAAAUCAUAUAUCCACCUAGAUAUUUUUGUGAUCAGGCUUCCAAACUCAAGCUGAUUUCUGCUUUACCACCUUGAGUUUGAGGGUAGAUGUUAGGUAUAUUUGCCGACUACUGUUCCAGUCCAAAUAUGAUUGACAUUUCCUUAUUACUUUUAAACACACUUUUCUUACUAGCCACAUUAUUUAGCUAUGUAUUAAUGUACAUAUUACUAUAACUUGAAUAUAAGAUAUAAAGAAUAAACAUAUACCUUUCACAUAUUCUCUCUCUUCCCAUAUUUUAACACAACCAGCUUAAGUUGUCAAUCGUGCUAAGUCUAGUGGUGUACAGUAAAUUGUUAUAUAGCAAAGUAUGUUCACCUCAUUAUAGCUCCAGUUAAUGAAAAAUAAAAGCCUCUGGAUAAUAAUUUUAAUUUGCUUGCUUUAAAAACUGAAUUGACCUUGAUGCGCAGAAAUGCUCACUGUAUUCAAAUGUUGUAAUCACCUCUCUAAGUCACAUCAAAAUUUUGAAAAAUAAUAAUAAUAAAAAUGAUACAUUUGUAUGACUCAUAAGCUAACUUAGCAAUAUCUAAGUCUCCAAGCACAUAUUCACAAUGACUUUCAUACAUUGUAUUUAUUUCUGUGGAGGUCCUUCUACUCAUCUCUCUAAAAUCAUGACUAGCAGGAGCUAAAUCUGGCAACAGAAGAAGUAUAUGAUUACAACAGACAGCCAUAUAACAAAAUAUCGAAGAACAACUUUUGCCAUGGGAUAUGAAGUCUCGCUGGAAUUUGCAAGCCAACAUUUUAUUUUUGAGAAAAGUCCAUAUAACCUAUGUAAAUGUGUAAAUUUAACCAGUAUUCUUCAGUAUCUUACAUUAGAUAGAAACGAAUAGAAGAAAGAGAUGGUUCCUUGAUGUCAAGGGCAAGACAAUUAACUAAUCCCUGAUUCAUAGGACCAGAAAAAUAGUGAGGGUAGACAAUUCCAUUCAAAAAUAUGUCGGAAAUGUCUGUCCCUCUUUCCAUUAGGAAGCCAAAUGAUGAAACCGGCAUCUAGAUAUUCGCAAAUUAUUACAUAUCCAAUGGGACAUCAUCCAUUUCUUUCCUUCUUCAUGCAUUGCUAACUUGAAGAGACCUUCCCUUAAAAUGGCUCAUGCUUAUAAUGGCAUUCACUGCUUCAUCACCUAAGCAAGAUCUUCUGCAUAUCUUCAUAGUGAUCUUAAGUCCCUCGAGCUUGUCCCUGUAUAUUGCCUUGAACUUUACAAAAACUGAUCAAACUCUACCUCUAUCUUUCAUCAAAAACCCAAAUUCCCUAACUAUACUGUCUGGUUGUAUUAUUGGAUUCCAAGGGAUGCUAACCUUCUCUAAGGACUCAACAUGAUGAAAAGUGCUUCAGCCAUGCUACCACUUGACACAAAAUAUCCAUGGUUGGUAUCGCCCUUCGCAAUGACAUCAAAAGUUGGUGUGCUGAAGUAAAAAUCAAGUUGACGAUCCUCUUCAUAGGCUGCACUUUGGUGAAUGCCGGUAAAUCCAGUGGGGAGGUCGAUUGAUUGAGAUGGAAUAUGAGUGGGCUUUUUCUCGAUGUCAUGUAAGUCAGAGCUAUUUUGAAUAUUGUUCUCUCCUGCAAUCAACUUAAAGUGAAUGGAGUCAUCUCAACCAAUGCUGCUAGGAGAAGGAUAUAUAAUAAAAUGGGAAAAAGUUGGCAACAUGUCUUAAUUUCAUACUUUUAGUAUUUGCAUCCUCUAGUUAGGAAUGCUCUCAAUCUGUGUGUUCUGGCUUUCUUCAAAAGUCACCUAAUUUGAGAAAUGAACUUCCAGAAGUUAUUUAAUGAAAUGAAGAUGAAAAGUCAACAAUUAAUAAAAUGGAAUUUCUUUACCUUCACUGUGUCAUUCAUCGGCAUUGUUAUCGUUCUUAAGCUCUCCACAGUCUUUUUCUCUUCCAUCAACUCCUCUUCCAGUGCACUGAUAUCCCUCAAGCUUGCCUGCUCUUCCACACUCUCCAUUUGGCAAAGCCGUGUGCUUCCAUCAAUUUUUUGCUCUUCGAUAGGAUUCGUAAAGUAGGGACUAACUUUAGUCCAUGCAUAUGGAUAGUUAGGGUUAUUGAUUAGUUCCUGAGAAGCUGAAGCAACUGAAAGGAUUUCUUGCAAAGCAUCAACUUCACUAGUAUUUUCUUCAAUAAAUCCAUAUUCGAGGGUCUUUGAAUUCAGAAAAUCUAUUUGAGGAAAGUCCUCCAGCUCUAAUGGUGGCAAAGAGAGCCUGUGUUGCAGCUUAGCACAUUCCAGUGCUACAUCAACCUGCAUGACCCAAAAGGACAAUUUUAAAAUAAUUCAUUUGGAUAUUCCUCCAUAACCAGCUUAUAUUUCUGCAAUUCUUUUUAGACAUAUUCCUCUAUCUUUUCAAUUUAAGAAAACACACCAUUCAAUCAUGGAUCCCUAGGAAUUUUUCAAUUUUACACAUAUUUAGGUGUUAUUUUUAAUAUAGAUUUAGUAGAUUAAUAUUGUUAAAAAAAACGUAUAGUGGGGGAUUCCUGUGUUUUCUAUGUAUGAUUUAGAAAAUGAGUUUUGGUUUGUUAAGAAUUUAGGAUUUCCAUGAUUCUCUGAAGAAAAGAACUCCUUGAAUAUUGUGAAGAAGUAACUUUCUCUAGUAUUCAUGAUCUCUUCAGUAUUAAGAUGCUAUCUAAAAACCCAAGCAUUUAGAUGAAAAGAUCCAAAAUUACACAAGCACUAUAAGAGUUCUUAACCUAUCCAAUAUGGGACUAUUAUUCCUCAAUGCCCCCUUUCACAUGUAGAGCCAUCUAAAAACCGAAAUAUUUAGAUGAAUAGAUCCAAAAGUAUAUAAGCACCAUAAAAGUUCUUAACCUAUCCAAUGUGAGACUAUCAUUCCUCAACCCCUCCUUUCACAUGUAGAGCCCGAGAGAUGCAAUCCAUAAUAAAGGAUGACACAUGGAUUAGUAAGUAGGAGCGUGAAGGUUUCAGCACGUAAGAAGGAUCGGUGGGCUCUAAUACUAUAUUAAGAUCUUAUGUAAAAACUCAGAUAUUUAGAUAGAUAGGUCCAAGAGUAUAUAAGCACCAUAAAAGUUAUUAACCUAUCUGAUGUGGGACAAUUAUUUCUCAACAUUUAGCACAUAUGGAUAGGUUCUGAUUCGAUCCUGGAUGGCGGCAUUCCCACUGUAAUUCAUAAAAAAAUGCUAAGAAGUGAGCACUUCUAAAACUAAUAUGCUCAAUUUAAUUAGUUAGUAUAGAACCAUCUCAGCAACUCAGCAGAAGAAUCCAUUGGGGCACCAAAACAGCUAAGAACAAGUGCUUCAUGAUAUUGUGACAAUUAAAACAUAGAGAUGCACAAUUUAAGAUUCAUUCUAACAGGUAUACCUCAACCUCAUUCAUCAAGCGAACAACAUAGUAGCAGGAGAUUUUUACCUCGGAUUGAACAUAGCAACUGUUCAGUGGGUUAUCAAACAACAUAGGAGCGGAUCUAAAUGACUCGUCUGCCAGAAGCUGCACCCACUUCUCCGUUAUUGGAGCAUUUGCAUCACAUGGGACUCCUUGAAUGAGGUCUGAUGAACAUGUCUCUGGUGGAUAAAGGUAUCCACAGCUCUCCUUGUCUUCCCUUCCACUGGUUAAAGCAUCAAGUGUCGACGUGUUGCCACUUGACAUCCUUCGAGAGUGCUCCUCAUUGGAAACAUCAUACUGAUCUAUGAUCUUAGGAGCAGGCAUGGUCUUCUUAAAUACACGGCAUAGUGAAUAUGCAUCCUAAAAAUUUACAAAUUCGCAUUUGGUUAUCAUUUUGGAAGAGGAGAUAGUAAAGUCAUCAAAGCUAUUUCAUUGAGGUUCUGAAAUGAAAUGAAAUGCAGAUGAAGCUGUAAACCAGCCCAAAGUAAAAUCAAAAUAAAAUUAUUGUAUAAUAAUAUUGUAACGUGAAAUUUCCAAUAUUACAUAUAAAAUAAAUAAUUAGAGAAUAAAAAUGAUUAUAAAUAAUUAGAUCACUUCUCAUCUAUGUUUUAAGAGCUUGGAAUUGGGUAUUGUGUCACUUCGAAGCAAUCCAGAGGACUGAGAGGAGGAUGGAAAGUAUACCUGCAGACCAGAGUUGGUUUCGCAUUCUUUCUCAUCAAGGCGGUAUUCAUGCAUGACCCAAUUGGUUCGGGAGCCAUGGGGUGCUCGUCCUUUGUAGAAAACUAGGGUCUUCUUCAUGCCCAUUGUUCGCUUCUGCGAGGUCACCUUGCGGUCUUUUCCAGUGGCCUUCCAAUAGCCAGCCUUAGUUGCACGGUUGGUCCUUGAACCAUUUGGGUACUUGCGAUCUCGGGGGCUGAAGAAAUACCACUCCAAGUCUUUGCUCGGUAACAAGGAUUUAUCUGUGACAAAAUCAUGUUCACCAAAUUCACUAAGAUCAGUGUUUAUGUGCUUACAACGUCCAGGAACAGGAACAGCAAGGAGUGGUUCAAGUGAUUUGGAAUGACAAAUGUCUUUCAGGUAAUUAAUUAAGCAGAUACAUUAAUAACAACCAACUCUAAAUAAAAGUAAUCAUCAAAAUCUAGAUAUACCCCAUCAAAC
rnacentral:lncRNA from 1 species